UUGAACUAAUACGGCUCCUUAGUUGGCAAAAAAAAGAAAAAGGCUUGGAAAGUUGUUCCUUUAUGCCUCUUUUGGUCCAUUUAAAGGCAGAGGUAUAGGAGAGCCUUUGAGAAUUAUAAAAGUUUGGACAAAGCAAUUAAAAGUUCUUUUUUGUAUCUAUUUUGGGAUUGAAUUAGAUUGUUCAUGGGGGAUUGGUAUAUAUCAUUAUUAGAUUUUGUGGAUUGGUUAGGUUCCCAAUAGGGUGCAUUUGUUUUAUGUGUAUUCGCCCCUUAUGGUUUUUGUUGUUUUGCAUACAUCGUGUAUAUUUUUUCAAUACAAUUUCCAUUUACCUAUAAAAAAAAUGUUGUAAAACAAUUAGAAUUAGAGUCAUAAUAAGUUAUUAGAAUCCUAAUAGACUUUGGAUUUCUUAAAGAAGCUUAUAAAUAAGGCUAAUCAAUGUAAAUCAAAUGAAUAAAUUGAUUGAUGUUAAUAAUAUUAUAAUUUUUUUUUGCAAGAGUUGUAAUCCUCAAUAGUGAGACUCCAUUGAUUUUCUUCUGGGUGAGACUCCUAAAAGACCUUAAUGAGACUCUAAGGUUUCCAUCUUUUAUUUGUCGUAUCUUCUCUCUUUCUUUUUCUUUUUUUUUUUCUUUAUCAUAAGCUUCAUUCCUUGUUCCUCUCCUUACACCUUAAAAAUAAAAACCAGAACCCAACUAUUUGAGUGUCGGCAACCAUCCUAGGGUUGUCAUAUAUCAAGAUGUCAAAAUGUUAGCGGUGACACCCCAACCUCUCUCCUUUCCUUUCCCUCUUCCUCCAAUAAGUUUCAUUGGAGAAUGUAGGUGAACCAGAUUAGGGUCUUCAUUGAACCAAUUGAUAAGCAUUCACUAGUCUUGAGACUUAGAAAGAGGCCUCCAUGAUCAACAUUGGCAGCCUCAUGAUCAAAGGGACUCCUUGUAGUGAUUCAUCAGGUGUCUACAGUCUACAGGCUGCAGAGUCCCUUUACAAGAUAUGCUGAUUGGAAGGCUUGGAUCCUUGAUUUGUUAAAAACACGGUUUCCUCUUGUAUUAGAGGAAGAGGACGGUAUAACAAAGAGGGGAGCCUCUACCUCAAUUGAGUUUAUCGUGGGCAACUUUUGGGUCGGGGUCAUGUUUUAUGUGGUGUAGGUAUUUGGUUCAGGGUUGCAGCUUAUGCGGGUUAGGUUGGAUUCAUGGUUAACUUGAACCAAACUUGAAGUAAUAAACAAUCAACUUGAGUCCAACCCAACUUGACCUCUAACCCCAGAUACUCAAACCAAGUCUAACUCAAGUUCAACUCAUCCUCAUUUUUCUAAUCUUGAAUUGAAUUUAGGUUGGUCGGAUAAGACUCAAGUUGAUCGGGUUAAAGAAUUCAAAACCACAAUAUUUUUUAAAGUUUUUUCUAAAUGUAUCAAAAUUUAAAUAUUAAAUCAAGCAAGAUUUCAAGAUGAUAACAAAAAAGUAAAAACAAAUUUACACAGCUUUCUAGAAAAUUGGAAAAUAAUAUGAUAUAAUUAUAAUUUGAUAUUUUUCCUUCAAAAUCUAAAAUAAAAUAAAUAAAAUGAAGAUUAUUAUAUAGAAAAUAUAAAUUAUAAAUAUUAUAAAAAUACUAAAUUGAUGCUGGUUAGGCUCAAGUAGUCUAAAAAUUAGACCGAACCCCAGCCUGAGUAUUAAACAUGAUUCCCCAGAACCGCCCAAAGGUCGGGUUUGAUCAGAUCAAUUCGCCCAUGUUGAACCAUUAGGUUUAACACAGCUGCCACCUUCUUGUAGGUUUCGCUUUCUUUGAACGACAUAUGAUCCUUCCCUGUCCUCCAUUUCUCUCUUUUUAAUAAUAUUCGGUUUCAUAUAAAAGAUGGAAUAGCCAAAAAUAAAAUAAAUAGGGAAAUAAUACCAUCUUCAUCUUUUGCAUCGACAUCAAGUUUCAAUUCUUCCAACAAGUACUUGCAGACCUCAGUUCUGCCUUCUCUGGCCGCAAAGUGAAGAGCCCCUCGUUUGUUCGCAUCCUUAACAUCCGCCACAGUUCCAGCCAAUCCCUUCCCAUCAUCAAGCUGCGCUGCCAACUCUAUCAAACCAAAAUUCAACCCAAAGUGUCAAAUUUUCAUAGAAAAACAACAAACUUAUUGACAUUUCAAAAAACAAAAAAAAAAAAAAACAUACUCUUGAAGAGAUCAAGAUUGCCUGUGCAAGCUGCAUUGAGAAAUUGUUGAACUUUGUUCCUCGUCGCAAGGGCAGCAUAGGCAUCAGGUGCCAUUAUUGGGUGAAAAGGAAUGAAACCCUAAAACCCUUUUUGAAGAUUACAAAAAAAAAAAAAAAACCUUAAAAAGUGGCGGUGAAGCUGGGGUUUUAGUUGAGUUGAUCAGUACUCAGCACUUCGAUGAGGGAGGCUCGGAAGAGGAAUCCGGUCGAUGACGCGCGGCCCGGAUCCUUUUAUGAUUGGGUCCAAUUGUCUAAAGGCUCUAAACCAGCCUUUCCGGGCCGGUCUUGGGCCCUGGACCCCAUAGAGCUGGGAAUUUAACUCUAAUCCCAAGCUCCACUCGAGACAUAUACAUGUCAUUUAUUUAUAUAUAUAUAUUAUUAUUAAAAAAUACUUUUUAAAAUAUGAUAAUUGAAAAAUUAUUUCUGAAUCUAGGAUAUUUUUUUUAAAAGUUAAUAUAAAAUUAUUUUGUUAAAAUAGAUAACUUCAUUUUGAAUUGUCUUUUAAAGAAAUUAACUUUAAAUUUUAAAUUUUACAUUAGAAUUAAUUUCUCAAAAGACAUAUCCAUAUUUUAAAAAACAACUUUAAGUUAUUACUUCAUAAAAUAUCAUAAAUUUGGAAGUGUUUUUUCCAAUGUUUUCAUAAUCGAACCGAUCAUUGAAGCGGAAAAGUUACCAAUUCACGGUUCAUUGGUCGGUCCGAUGAUCGAAAAAAUAAAAAUAAUAAUUUAUAUAUUAUUUAAAAAUUAAAUUUUUAUUUAAAAAUCAGAAAAUUAGUUUCAAAUUAGAAAUUAAAAUUAAAAUCAUAAUUUUAAUUUAAAAUUUAAAUUUUUAAUAUUUAUUUUUAAAUAAAAAACUGAUUUUAAAAUAAAAAAUUUAUUUAAAAUUAUAAUGUUUUUAAUUUUACCAUUAAAUCAUAUAUCAUCCAUAUAAAUCCAUAUAUAAAGGCAUUAAAUCAUAUCUAAUACCAUUCAUGUAAAUCCAUAUAAAAAGGCAUUUUUUACUUUAUCAAUUUGAGCUCACAAUUCAUACAAAAUUGUAAUGUUGCUGUGAAGACUAAUAAAUAAACAAAAAAAGAAAAAUUUAUAAAAAUGGAAUAUUAAACAUAAUAUCAUAAUUAAAAAAAUACAUUAAAAUGAUGAAGGCGCUUUGACCGUAAUUAUCUUAAACAUAUUAACCAUUUCUUUACUUUCCAAUAGCGUAGAAGGGACAAAAAAAACAUCUUGUUGUUUCUUCAACAAUUUAUGAUCUUUAGUGGACCUCUUAAUAAGAUUCGAACUCAGAUGAAGUUCUGACCAUCUGUUAGAGAAAAAAAAAACGAAUGGAUCUUGGGAAUGGUCCAAUUCUGGUUCAACCUAUUUCAAACCCAAUUGACCAGAUUGGACCGAAACCGUGACCAGCCGACGGUCGGACCACCCAAUCCGGUCCCGUUUUUAAAACCAUUAUUUUUUCAACUCUUAUAAAUCCUGAAAUAUUUUUACAAUUACCGUUAUUUAAAAAAAUAUAUAUUUUUUUAGAAAGCUAUAUAGAUAUCAAAUUUUCCAAUAUUACAUCUCUAGGUUGAGAAAAUGCAUACCAUACAUGAAAUUUUAAAAAUAAAAAUAACAUGCUUGUGGAAUCAAAAAAUUAAUUCUCUAAAGGGUAAGAGUUAGGGAUUUAUUUCAAGUCAAUGUAAAUUAAAAAAAUAAAAAUAAAAUGUUGUUGAUUGUAAUUCAGUGAAUUUCACUGGUCUUCCUCUUAUUUAUUAUCAUUUGUUUUAAAUUUUAUCAAAUGCAUCUUCAAUCUUUUUUAUUUGUUAUUUUUAUUUAUCUCCCUUUUAAUUGAAAAUAAAAUAGAUAUAUGAAUGAAAUUUCAAACUCACAGUGGUUAAGAUAGUGUUUGUUUUUAACUUAAUGUUGAAUGCAAUUUCUUUUCAAACUUUCGAUAGUUUAUAUUCAAAUUUUUUUUUUACUUGUUACUUAUUUUUUUUUAAAAUUACUAAAUAAAAAAAUCUAAAAUUAUUUGAUUUUUUGCUGAAUAUUAAAAAUAUCUUUUUGAAAUAAUCAAAAUACAAUUUCAACAUGACUCUCACUCACUCUAUUAUACUUAGUACUUAACGGAAAUAAAAUAAUAAUAAAAAAACAAACAAUUUAAUACUUACUACUAUUAAAUUGUAUUUAUAAUUAAGUUAAAUUAAAUUCUAUUUAUUUUUAAGUUAAAAAAAAAAGUUGCCUUUUAUUUAACUCAAAUCUCAUUGAAUGUGAGUAAAAUUACCUUUAUGUAAUAUAAUAAUACAAGCAACAAGAGAUUUUUUAUAAGUUUAGGAAAUAAUUUAAAAGUAUAAAUAUUUAUUUAUACUUUUAUUUAUUUAUUUCAAAAUCCAUUAUUUUGAAAUUACAUUUUCAUGAUUUAGUUUUAGUGCAUUGUCUUGAAAUCAUUACUCUUUCAAUUUUUAUUCUUCAAUUUGUAAUAUUUUUCAUGCAUUUUAAGGUUUUUUUUUAACUUUUUUUAAUUAUAUAUGUUUCUUUUUCAUUUUAGACAAAUUUUCCUCUCUUUUUUUCCCAAAAUACCCACCUGACGAUGACUACAAAAUGCAUUGUCACUUCUUGUUUGUGAUUGCAAUUCACUCAUCUCUUACUAAGGAACAUGCAUUGUUGCUUCAUGUUUAUGAAUGCAUUUAAAUGAUAUCCUGUCAUAUUCUGUCAGUUUGGUAUUAUUGUAAAUUUUUUGGAAUUUUUUUUGAAUUGUAUUGAAAGAAAAAUUAGCUAAGACAAAAAGUAAUCAAGUGUUUAAAUGGAGAAUAGUUUCAAAAGUGCUAUGAACUUAUCGGUAUGUAAAUCUUUGAUAAAUUAAGUGUCCUAUACUUUUCUGUUUUUUAUUGUUAAAAUAAAAAACUGUGAAUUUAAAGGUUAAUUAAUUAAUAAAAUCACCUAAAAGGAGGGGAUGAAUUGGGCUUUUGAAAAUUUUUAAUAACAUGCUAAAUUUAGAUAAAAAAUAAAUCAAGAAUGUAAAGAGAUAAAGGAUAGAGGAAGCAAACUCAAGAUUUAUGAGGGUUGGAUUAACUAUAGAUUUACUAUCGUGCAUAAAAGUAUUUUGGUAAUUACACAAAGUUGCACAGAGGAUAGUAAAUAAGGUCUUUGAAUUAGACUAAUUGAUUAAUUAGAUGAUCCUAUAUAGUUGAAAAAUCAAUUAGGGUCCAGUUUAGGUUAUAUUAAAUAACUUUGGCCCAUAUGAGCUCAUGUCACUUAAGCCAAGAAGAAACCCUAUAAAUACCCCCUUAAGGGUUAGGAUUUUCAGUUAGUUGCCUUCCACCUUGAUUACUACUCAAAACAUGCUAUUUUGUAGCUUGUAAUUAGCUCUCUUAAACACUCUUGAGUAGUAAUUAUUACCUUUUAACUCGAUUAACAUGUUAGGGACCCUUGCAAUCAGAUUUCUAACAAUUGUGUUAAGUUUUGGUGCUUUUUGAUAGCUUUUUGCCCACCAAAGCAAUUUAAGAAUGAGGGAGAGCUAUUUAUAGUUCAUGGCAAAGCUUUUGGAAGCUUUGAUUUUUGAAGAAAUCAAGCUAUGGAGCCUCAUAAUCCUUUGCCUUAAUCGUUCAAAGUUUACAAGGGAGAAGCAAUGGAGAAGAAGAAAACAGGGGAUGAAAACAGGGGACACAGCUGCAGUCUUUUAGUGCACUUUUGGAGCACUUCCCGAAGUCCAUUCUUUACAUUAUAUAUACCAUUUCGAAGCUCAGAAAGUCAAGAAUCCAAUGGUUCAAACCACGUAUGAUUUGGAGCUGAAAUGAGGAAGAUAUGGACUUCGGAAGACAACUGCAUCAAGCUGAGGGACAAUUUCGCACACCACUGUUUAAGGUGCGAAAUCCUCAGUCCACUGUGCGAAAAUUUCGCACACCUCAAACCAACAUGCGAAAAUGGGAACNNNNNNNNNNNNNNNNNNNNNNNNNNNNNNNNNNNNNNNNNNNNNNNNNNNNNNNNNNNNNNNNNNNNNNNNNNNNNNNNNNNNNNNNNNNNNNNNNNNNGACUAGCAAUAUGUCGGUUGGGGGGAGUGAUUACUACUCAAAACAUGCUAUUUUGUAGCUUGUAAUUAGCUCUCUUAAACACUCUUGAGUAGUAAUUAUUACCUUUUAACUCGAUUAACAUGUUAGGGACCCUUGCAAUCAGAUUUCUAACAAUUGUGUUAAGUUUUGGUGCUUUUUGAUAGCUUUUUGCCCACCAAAGCAAUUUAAGAAUGAGGGAGAGCUAUUUAUAGUUCAUGGCAAAGCUUUUGGAAGCUUUGAUUUUUGAAGAAAUCAAGCUAUGGAGCCUCAUAAUCCUUUGCCUUAAUCGUUCAAAGUUUACAAGGGAGAAGCAAUGGAGAAGAAGAAAACAGGGGAUGAAAACAGGGGACACAGCUGCAGUCUUUUAGUGCACUUUUGGAGCACUUCCCGAAGUCCAUUCUUUACAUUAUAUAUACCAUUUCGAAGCUCAGAAAGUCAAGAAUCCAAUGGUUCAAACCACGUAUGAUUUGGAGCUGAAAUGAGGAAGAUAUGGACUUCGGAAGACAACUGCAUCAAGCUGAGGGACAAUUUCGCACACCACUGUUUAAGGUGCGAAAUCCUCAGUCCACUGUGCGAAAAUUUCGCACACCUCAAACCAACAUGCGAAAUUGGAACUCAGCGUGCGAAAAUUGGAUAUUUUUGCCGACUCUUUUUUCUUCUGAUAUUUUUGUGUUUAAAUUAAAUUUCCAUUUUCUCCUUGUAUUCAUCCAACCAUGUAAUCUUAGCUAGGAAGUAUCCAAGGAAGGGUAAAACUACCUUCCUAUAUAAAUUCUCUGUAAUCACUGAAAACAUAUCUUUCGGGGAGCUUUCUCCAGGAGACGAACUAUUGUAAAAUUUGUUACUUAGUGAAAUACAGAGAUCUCUUUUGCUUUUAUUUUCUCUCUUUUAUUUUCUAUUUUCUUGCAAGCCAAACACCCUCUGAGGAUGUUUUCCCAGAGGAUGAGAGGCUAAACAACAGUUUCUUGGAUUAAAGGAAGCUAGGUGAAAAGUCCAGAUUAAAAGGUGGAAAGUUUCCGUGCAUUAACUUCAGGUAGUUGGAGUCCAUAAAUGGCUUCUAAAGCCAAGGUUUUGCCUUAAAUCCCUUAGGAUCACUUUGACUGGCCAAUACAUGGUAAGCUUAAGGUCUCUGUGGAUGCUUAUUGCUAGAUCCAUAUCAGUCCAUUAGUUAUCAUGUACGAGCCAUUGGAAAGUGAUUCAAGGUGAUAGCCCAUAGUGUCUUAAGCCAUUAAUGGACCUUGACUACCAUCUCUAGUGACUUUUUAUGGAUUAAAACUUCAUUGUCAAACCUAUACCGGUUCGGGAAAUAACUAUAGGUUAAAUCCCCAAUGCGAGGAGAAAAAUCCGGAAUUUUCCACUUUGCAUUUGGAACUUGAACCUAGCAACCUUUAGCUCCGGGAGACUUUCUUUCUUACACUUUUUACUUAGUUCUAUGUGAGUUUAGUUUAAAUCACCACUUUCAAACAAUUUUAUUUUCUUUUAAAUUUCAAGUUUGUGCCAAAGAAAUCAUCAGAAUCAAUUUCUAAUUUAGAGUCUAUCAUUGGUAGAGUGAAAACCCAUCCCUGAGUUCGACCCUAGAACUGCUAUACUAUAGUAGCUUUGCUACGCCAGUAUAAGGUCAUAGGUUUUAUAAAUGUUUUUGAUUAAAAGAUCCGGCUGGGAAGUCGAGCGUGAAUCAAAUGGCGCCGCUGCCGGGGAUGGUGCCACAAUACAGUGAUACAACCUUUUAGAGGCUACUUGUGAUUUUUAUCACAAGUUAGGUGAAUUUCUUUUUCACUAAUUUCAUUUUCUUUCAUUUCCCUGUUGUUAAUUUUAUUUUCAUUUUUCUUCCUAACUUUAAUUUUUUUUUUCUAGAUUCCUUUUGUUUUUGUUGUUUUUGUCUUAUUUCAGGUAUUGUAACUUGUGCAUGCCCUAUUGGAUUAGGGACCAAGAGGGAAGAUUAGUAAGGAUUGAGAAUCCUCAAGACACAGAGUUGGAUAUCUGUGUAAAUAUCAUGGACCCUCCACCAGAGGAUCAGAAUUCUCAACAAGGUCAAGGGGGUAAUCCUAAUGCAUACCUAUCCAUGAGGGAUAGAAUGCAUCCCCCAAGGAUGAGUGCACCCUCAUGCAUCCUGCCCCCUCUUGAGCAGUUGGUUAUAAGACCCCAUAUUGUACCCCUCCUACCAACUUUCCAUGGAAUGGAGAGUGAGAAUCCAUAUUCUCACAUCAAGGAGUUUGAGGAGGUGUGUAAUACCUUUAGAGAGGGAGGAGCUUCAAUAGACUUGAUGAGACUCAAGCUAUUCCCUUUCACUUUGAAGGACAAGGCAAAAAUAUGGCUUAAUUCUUUAAGGCCAAGGAGCAUAAGGAAUUGGGUUGAUCUUCAAGCUGAAUUUCUGAAGAAAUAUUUCCCCACCCAUAGGACUAAUGGGUUGAAGAGACAAAUCUCAAACUUUUCUGCAAAAGAAAAUGAGAAGUUCCAUGAGUGUUGGGAAAGGUAUAUGGAGGCUAUCAAUGCUUGUCCUCAUCAUGGUUUCGAUACAUGGCUCCUAGUGAGCUAUUUUUAUGAUGGAAUGUCCUCUUCCAUGAAGCAAAUUCUUGAGACCAUGUGUGGGGGAGAUUUUAUGAGUAAGAAUCCUGAUGAAGCCAUGGACUUUUUAAGUUAUGUGGCCGAGGUGUCAAGAGGAUGGGAUGAGCCCAACUCAAGAGAGAAAGGAAAAUUCCCCUCUCAACAAACCCAAAAUCCAAAGGCUGGAAUGUACAUGUUGAGUGAAGAUGUGGACAUGAAAGCUAAGGUGGCAACAAUAGCAAGGAGGUUGGAAGAACUUGAGUUGAAAAAGAUGCAUGACGUCCAAGCUAUUUCCGAAACUCAAGCCCAUGCCAUGCCAUGCACCAUUUGCCAAUCAUGUGAUCAUGUGGUAGAUGAGUGUCCAACCAUGCCAGCCGUGAGAGAAAUGUUAGGUGAUCAAGCCAAUGUUGUGGGGCAAUUUAGGCCUAACACUAAUGCACCCUAUGGUAACACCUAUAAUUCAAGCUGGAGAAACCACCCAAAUUUUUCUUGGAAACCAAGACCACCUCCAUACCAACCACAAGGCCAAACCCAAGCACCUCAACAACCAUCUUCAGUGGAGCAGGCCAUUGCAAACCUAAGUAAAGUCAUGAAUGACUUUGUGGGUGAACAAAGGGCAAUCAACUCCCAAUUGCACCAAAAGAUUGAGAAUGUUGAGAGUUCUCUAAAUAAGAGGAUGGAUGGGAUGCAAAAUGAUCUAUAUCAUAAGAUAGAUAAUAUUCAGUACUCCAUCUCUAGACUUACCAACCUCAACACAGUGAAUGAGAAAGGAAAAUUCCCCUCUCAACCAAGCCAAAAUCCUAAGGGUGUUCAUGAAGUUGAAAUCCAAGAGGGGGAUUCUUCAAAGUUGAGGGAGGUCAAAGCUGUGAUAACCUUGAGGAGUGGAAAGGAGGUUGAUAAACCCUUGCCUAAGGUGAGGCAAGAUGAAGAACUCAUGUCAAAGAGACCUUUGAUUAAAGAGAGCAAAAACCAAGAAGAGCAGAGUGGGAAGAAAAGUGCAUCCAAAUCAAGCAUUGAGGAAGAACCAAGGAUAGUGAUUAAGGAGCAUAUGAUGAAGAAACAUAUGCCUCCCCCUUUUCCUCAAGCUUUACAUGGAAAGAAAGAAAUCAAGAAUUCAUCAGAAAUUCUUGAAGUGCUGAGGCAAGUGAAGGUGAAUAUACCUUUACUUGAUAUGAUCAAGCAAGUCCCCACAUAUGCAAAGUUUCUAAAGGACUUGUGCACAGUCAAGAGAGGUUUACAGGUGACAAAGAAUGCAUUCCUCACUGAGCAAGUGAGUGCUAUCAUCCAGAGUAAGUCCCCAGUUAAGUAUAAAGACCCGGGAUGUCCCACCAUAUCAGUCAACAUUGGAGGGACACAUGUGGAAAAAGCUUUAUUAGAUUUGGGAGCAAGUGUGAAUUUGCUCCCAUACUCUGUCUAUAAACAACUGGGACUUGGAGGAUUAAAGCCUACAACCAUGACCCUCUCUUUAGCUGAUAGGUCAGUCAAAAUCCCAAGGGGUGUGAUAGAGGAUGUUCUAGUUCAAGUGGACAAAUUCUACUAUCAUGUGGAUUUUGUGGUGCUUGAUACCGAUUCCUCUGUCAAGGAAGAAAAUUAUGUGCCAAUCAUCCUAGGGAGGCCUUUUCUAGCUACCUCAAAUGCCAUCGUUAACUGUAGGAAUGGGGUGAUGCAGCUCACAUUUGGAAACAUGACUUUGGAAGUAAACAUAUUCCACUUAUGUAAGAGGCAUCUUUACCCUGAAGAGGAAGAAGGCUUUGAGGAAGUAUGCUUGAUCAACACUUUGGUUGAAGAGCACUGUGACAAGAGUUUAGAGGAGAGCUUGAAUGAAAACCUGGAAGUCCUUGAAGAUGGGUUCCCUGAACCCUCUGAUGUGCUAGCCAUUAUGUCUCCUUGGAGGAGACGGGAAGAGAUCUUACCACUGUUCAACCAUGAAGACUCUGAAGGAGUUGCUGUGGAGGACCCUCCAAAGCUUAUUUUAAAGCCACUUCCUGUGGAGUUGAAGUAUGCAUACUUGGAGGAUGAUGAAAAAUGUCCAGUGGUGGUUGCCUCAACCCUCACUAGUGAUCAAGAGGAUAGUCUUUUAGGAGUCCUCAGAAAAUGUAAGAAAGCCAUUGGAUGGCAAAUUUCUGAUCUGAAAGGGAUUAGCCCUUUGGUGUGCACCCAUCAUAUUUAUAUGGAGGAUGAUGCAAAACCAGUGAGGCAACCCCAAAGGAGACUGAAUCCUCACAUGCAAGAGGUGGUGAGGAGUGAAGUUUUGAAGCUACUUCAAGCUGGGAUCAUAUAUCCCAUUUCAGAUAGCUUGUGGGUGAGCCCCACCCAAGUAGUCCCAAAGAAAUCUGGAAUCACUGUGAUCCAGAAUGAGAAAGGGGAAGAAGUCUCUACACGUCCUACCUCAGGAUGGAGGGUGUGUAUAGACUAUAGAAGGUUGAAUUCAGUAACUAGGAAGGACCAUUUUCCACUGCCUUUCAUGGACCAAGUCCUUGAGAGAGUCUCAGGACAUCCUUUCUAUUGUUUUCUAGAUGGUUAUUCAGGGUACUUCCAAAUAGAAAUUGAUUUGGAAGAUCAAGAGAAAACAACCUUCACUUGUCCUUUUGGUACUUUUGCAUAUAGGAGAAUGCCCUUUGGUCUAUGUAAUGCUCCUGCAACUUUCCAAAGAUGCAUGCUAAGCAUCUUCAGUGAUAUGGUUGAACGCAUCAUGGAAGUUUUCAUGGAUGACAUCACUGUAUAUGGAAGUUCUUAUGAGGAGUGUUUGAUGCAUUUAGAAGCUGUUCUCCAUAGAUGUAUUGAGAAAGACCUAGUGCUAAAUUGGGAGAAGUGCCAUUUUAUGGUACAAAAAGGAAUUGUCUUAGGACAUAUCAUCUCCAAAAAUGGCAUUGAGGUAGAUAAGGCAAAGGUGGAACUUAUUGUUAAGUUGCCACCUCCCACAAAUGUUAAAGGAAUUAGGCAAUUCCUUGGACAUGCAGGAUUCUAUAGGAGGUUCAUUAAGGAUUUCUCAAAAAUCUCAAAACCUCUGUGUGAGCUUUUGGUAAAGGAUGCCAAGUUUGUGUGGGAUGAGAAGUGUCAGAGAAGUUUUGAGGAAUUGAAGCAAUUCCUCACAACUGCACCAAUAGUGAGAGCCCCAAAUUGGAAAUUACCUUUCGAGGUAAUGUGUGAUUCAAGUGAUCUUGCUAUGGGGGCUGUUUUAGGGCAAAGAGAAGAUGGAAAGCCCUAUGUGAUCUAUUAUGCAAGCAGAACUUUGAAUGAGGCUCAAAAGAACUACACAACUACUGAGAAGGAGUUGUUGGCUGUAGUUUUUGCCUUGGAUAAGUUUCGUGCUUAUUUGGUAGGGUCCUCUAUAGUAGUGUUCACUGACCAUUCUGCUUUGAAGUACUUGCUAACCAAGCAGGAUGCCAAGGCAAGAUUGAUAAGAUGGAUUCUUUUGCUCCAAGAAUUCAAUCUCCAAAUCAGGGAUAAAAAGGGGGUAGAAAAUGUGGUAGCUGACCACUUGUCCAGACUAGUGAUAGCACAUGACUCACAUGGUCUACCUAUCAAUGAUGACUUCCCUGAGGAGUCUCUCAUGUCAGUAGAUUUAGCUCCAUGGUAUUCUCACAUUGCAAACUUUUUGGUUACUGGAGAAGUACCAAGUGAGUGGAGUGCUCAAGACAAGAGGCAUUUCUUGGCUAAGAUCCAUGCCUAUUAUUGGGAGGAACCUUUUCUUUUCAAAUAUUGUGCAGAUCAAAUUAUAAGGAAAUGUGUUCCUGAGCAAGAGCAAUCGGGAAUUCUCUCCCAUUGCCAUGAUAGUGCUUGUGGAGGUCAUUUUGCCUCUCAGAAAACAGCUAUGAAAGUGAUCCAAUCAGGCUUCUGGUGGCCCUCUCUUUUCAAGGAUGCCCAUUCUAUGUGUAAGGCAUGUGAUCGGUGUCAAAGGCUUGGUAAGCUAACACGCCGAAAUAUGAUGCCCUUGAACCCCAUCUUAAUAGUGGAUAUCUUUGAUGUCUGGGGUAUAGACUUUAUGAGACCAUUUCCAAUGUCAUUUGGACAUUCCUACAUCUUGGUAGGAGUGGAUUAUGUCUCUAAGUGGGUAGAGGCAAUCCCAUGUAGGAGCAAUGAUCAUAAAGUGGUACUUAAAUUCCUCAAGGACAACAUCUUUGCAAGAUUUGGAGUGCCAAAGGCCAUUAUAAGUGACGGGGGAACCCACUUUUGCAAUAAACCUUUUGAGACUCUUCUAGCCAAAUAUGGGGUUAAGCACAAGGUAGCUACACCUUAUCACCCUCAAACUAGUGGCCAAGUUGAGUUAGCCAACCGAGAGAUCAAGAAUAUAUUGAUGAAGGUGGUCAAUGUGAAUAGGAAAGAUUGGUCUAUCAAGCUCCUAGAUUCCUUAUGGGCUUAUAGGACAGCUUACAAGACCAUUCUAGGAAUGUCUCCCUAUCGCCUUGUUUAUGGCAAAGCAUGUCACCUUCCAGUGGAAAUUGAGUAUAAAGCAUGGUGGGCAAUCAAAAAGCUCAACAUGGAUUUGACAAGAGCCGGGUUAAAGAGAUGUUUAGAUUUGAAUGAAUUAGAGGAAUUGAGGAAUGAUGCAUACCUCAAUUCAAAAAUUGCAAAAGCAAGAUUGAAAAAAUGGCAUGAUCAGUUGGUAAAUCAGAAGAAUUUUACCAAAGGACAAAAGGUUUUGCUUUAUGACUCUAAACUUCAUCUCUUUCUAGGUAAAUUGAAAUCAAGGUGGACGGGUCCUUUCAUAAUUCAUGAAGUGCAUCCCAACGGAGUAGUGGAAAUAUUCAAUCCCACAGGCAAUCAAACCUUCAAAGUCAAUGGCCAUCGUCUCAAGCCAUUCAUAGAGCCUUACAGUACAGACAAGGAGGAGAUCAACCUCCUUGAACCACCACAACUCUGAGUAAAAACAGGGUAUCAUGGGCUAAAUAAGUCCAUGAAUUUUUUGUUAUAGUUUUAUAGUUAUAUCAUUAAUUUUAUUUCUUUUUAUUAUAAUUUUACCUCAAGCUUAGUUUAUUUUGUCUUAAUUCAAGUCAAUUUUGAUGAUAAAUUGCAGAAAAAAUCAUGAAAAGUGAGGAGAACUCUUCAAAAGCAGAACAGGGGAGUAAAACCAAGGAAGCAGAGCAAGGUGCCAAAUUUUCGCACACCCAUUUUCAAGGUGCGAAAAUUUCGCACACCCCAAAACCAAGGUGCGAAAUCCUUGGGCCAAAGGAAGCAAUUUUCGCACACCCCAAUUUCAAGGUGCGAAACCAAUUCCAAGGUGCGAAAUCCAUUUUCAAGGUGCGAAUUUCCUAAAAUCCAAUUUCGCACACCACUGUGGAAGGUGCGAAAAUUUUCGCACUGUGCGAAAUCCUCUCCUGGCACACGUGUGCCAAUUUCGCACACCCCAAGCUAAUUUUCGCACUGUGCGAAACGGUGUGCGAAAAUUUCGCACACCACUGUUCAAGGUGCGAAAAUUUCGCACACCCAAUUCCAAGGUGCGAAAUCUUCAAUUGAAGGGGUGCCAUUUUCGCACACCUAAUUCCAAGGUGCGAAAUUUGCAGACCAAGGUGCGAAACUUUCGCACGGUAAAAUUUUAAGUUCUAAAAAUUUAAAACGGACUUUUAAAUUAAAAUUUUACCCCCGAAAUUGUGCCUAACGUCCAAAAACGACUUUUCGGUUGCCUUGGAAAAUUUUAAAAUAUCAGAAACCUUUAAACCUCAUUCCUAUAUAAACCCUUGAGCUCCAAAAGCCCAGGAACUCAACAGUCUCCCCGCGCACAAGCUAAGACACCUCUGGAAUCCCGAACACCCACCUCUCUUCAUUUCGGCCAUGGCGAAGACCAGAGGAGGCCAUUCCGCCUCCCCAUCCUCACCGACACCUCGACCACCUCGAGCCGCCAUGGGAGCCGCAGCUUUGCCGCCUGUUCAGGCCCCGGCCAUUCCCCCAUCUGAGGGGGAAGCUCCUUCUCAGCGCCGAUACCCUACCAGGAGGCCACCCACGCACCCUCUGCCACCAGUCGAUCAGGCCACGAGCCCUGUUCCUCGACCCCCUGCGAAGAGGACCAAAGUCUUGGGUCCUGGAGAGCCAUCCCACGCACCUCAGCCAGAGCCAUCUACAGAGGAACCUCGGAUUCCUCCGGAUAUUCCUCUCGAGACCGUUAUCAGGCGUCCCAUGCUAGCUGGACCACCGAUAGAAGGCAACUUAGAUUGCAGAGAUCGACCCUUCCAUUCCGAGACCUAUUUUGAUAGAGAGGCCCUCAGACAGCAGCCAGAGCUCAGAGAUUCAUUCCGACUGCUGCAGAGGUAUCACAUGGAGGAUCUUCUCACUCCUAGGCAAUUCUACUAUCCUAGAGUAGUUAUAGAUUUUUAUCAAUCUAUGACUACUCGAGGCCUCCGCAAUCCUACUCUCAUCCAAUUUACCAUAGACGGACGCCAGGGUGCCAUUGGAGCUCGCCACAUUGCUGAGGCCCUCCGUAUACCUUAUGAGCCCGUGUUUCAGGCAGAUUUCAGGGAGUGGUCCUCAUUCUCUCAGAGUGACAUGGUCCGCAUUUUGUCCAGGGGGACUUCUACAGCCUCGGUAUUGACCAGGAGAGAGCUUCCAUCUGGGAUGCUCCUCAUUGAUGUGUUCCUGCGUGCCAACCUAUUUCCCCUUCAGCAUAAAGUUCAGAGGAGAGGAGCUAUACUUGAGGCGUUAUUCAGGAUUUCUGAGGGCUAUUUCUUCGGCCCUCAUCAUUUGAUUAUGACUUCUCUUCUUCAUUUUGAAGAGAAAGUCCAUCAGAAGAAGCUUCAGAGGGCAGACGGCAUCCCAUUACUAUUUCCGAGGCUCCUCUGCCAGAUUUUAGAGCACUUGGGCUAUCCUGAAGAGCCCCGUCUUGAGAGGCGCCGCCAUUGCCGAGAGGACUUCUCUCUCGACAAAUGGCAUCACUUGGUAGCCUAUUUUGCACCCCAGGGAGCCCCAGCUGUGCCUGCACCUCCAGAGCUACCCCGAGAUGAGCAGAUACCUCAGGCCCAGCAGGAUGAGAUUCUCACAGAGACACCACCUCCUGCCCCUGCAGCACACACCUCAGAGCAUAUUCCUGAGCCUAUACAUCCUAUUUCUCCUAUCACUUCGGGUGCUCCACCAGUCCUGCCAGCUACCCCAGCACCUCCUCCUUCAUCUGAGCCCACUAUCACCGUUUCUCUUACGGAAUUCAGAGGCUUAGAGCGUUCAUUGCGGACACUGAGCACUGCUCAGGAUUCUAUUAUCCACCAGAUGGCCAUUAUUCGGGCACACCAGGAUCAGAUCAUUGCUACUCAGUCCCAGCAUACCACGAUCCUUCAUCAGAUUCAGCAGCAUCUGAGUAUGCAGACCCCUCUUGGGCAUGAUAGGUCUGCACCAUCCGAGCCUCUAGUGCCAGAUGAGGAGAGCUUGCCAGCUGAGCAGCCUAUACCUGAGGAGGAGAUCAGAGCAGAGCCAUCACAUGACCCCACUCAUAUCUGAUCUUUUUAUGUUUUACUUUAUAUAUUAGACUUGUAAAUCCCAGCUUUUGCAUGUGUUAUAAACUGGGAUUGGAAAUAGUACUUGAAAUCAUACAUUGUAUAUUUCUUUUCCAAGUAAUAUAUAUAUAUAUAUAUAUCCUUUUUGAUUAUAUUCCCUUUUCUCAUUACUCUUUUGUCCUUGGAACAUGUGGUUUAAGGUACUCCAUACCUCCUUUACACUCAGACUUUGUCACACUCAGGAGGUACCACUUCCUCCCUUUAUUUUUUAAUCGCUUUUGAAACAUUGGGGACAAUGUUCAACUUGGUUGGGGGGGAGAAUUGAGAAAGGAAGUUUUGUUGUCGAUAUUAAGUUAUUUUGGUAUUUUAGUUGAUUUUUGCUUAAAAUUUAAAAUUUUUAAAAAGUUUUUUUUGAAUCAUUCUCUCUGGUUGUUAAAGAUAAUUUCUCAAAAAUAAAAUAGGAUAAGUCGAGUUUUAACUUAAUUAUUUAAGUCUUAGAGUUUGUUUUAUGCUUUCAAAGUUGAUAAUCUAUUGAAGCCUCUUUGAUUUUGAACUUUCUUCUUCCAUUUCGAGCUUUUACACACACUGUGCACAUUAGAUCCCGGAUAUAAGAUGUAAAACUUUCUCACUUUCUAAGCUUAGGAAAAUUUUGAUUUGGUUUAUUACUUAACCUCUUUUUAAUAGUGUUGGGACACCUCAUAAAGACCAAUGAGUCUUAGAAAAAGACCAAUGAGUCUUAGAAAAAGACCAAUGAGUCUUAGAAAAAGAAAAAGAGAAUAAGCUUCUAUUCUUUCCUUGAAACCUAAGCAUGAUCCGAAGGGGUGGCGAAAGCCUUUAAAACCCGAUGCCCUAAACCUUGAUUGGUUGGGAGUCAUCGAUCCUCUGCUUGCUACAUAGGUGAAUUGGUUAAGUUUAGUAAAUAAAAAGAAUUGUGAAUAAGAAGGUGCGUUCUUAACCUAUUAAGAGUUGGUUAAUGUUGCCAAUAUCCGAGAAAAGCUUAGGUUGGAGGGUGAUGAUAGUUGUAUAUACUAUAUCUGGAAGCUAAUUUCAUUAACACUUAGCUUAUUAUGGAAGAGUUUGUUUUGAAACCUUGAGAGUAGAGAUUCUUUUGAUACUUAAUUGCAUAAUCUCCACUCUUUGUACUUUUUGUUUAAGUUUAAGCUUUGUUAACUCCUAUUGCAUUUUGAAUCUUCAUAUCUUUAGUUCACCAGGUGAGAGGUGUUUGGAUAUCAGUCAUGCCACUCAAUUAUUUUUUGGAAUGAAUUGCAUGACCUCUUUUAUAUAUAUUAUUACGUUUGCUUAGUUUUUCUCUCCUUAAUUGCUAAGGGACUAGCAAUAUGUCGGUUGGGGGGAGUGAUUACUACUCAAAACAUGCUAUUUUGUAGCUUGUAAUUAGCUCUCUUAAACACUCUUGAGUAGUAAUUAUUACCUUUUAACUCGAUUAACAUGUUAGGGACCCUUGCAAUCAGAUUUCUAACAAUUGUGUUAAGUUUUGGUGCUUUUUGAUAGCUUUUUGCCCACCAAAGCAAUUUAAGAAUGAGGGAGAGCUAUUUAUAGUUCAUGGCAAAGCUUUUGGAAGCUUUGAUUUUUGAAGAAAUCAAGCUAUGGAGCCUCAUAAUCCUUUGCCUUAAUCGUUCAAAGUUUACAAGGGAGAAGCAAUGGAGAAGAAGAAAACAGGGGAUGAAAACAGGGGACACAGCUGCAGUCUUUUAGUGCACUUUUGNNNNNNNNNNNNNNNNNNNNNNNNNNNNNNNNNNNNNNNNNNNUUUCCCAGAGGAUGAGGAGGCUAAACAACAGUUUCUUGAUUAAAGAAGCUAGUGAAAAGUCCAGAUUAAAAGGUGGAAAGUUUCCGUGCAUUAACUUCAGGUAGUUGGAGUCCAUAAAUGGCUUCUAAAGCCAAGGUUUUGCUUUAAAUCCCUUUAGGAUCACUUUGACUGGCCAAUACAUGGUAAGCUUAAGGUCUCUGUGGAUGCUUAUUGCUAGAUCCAUAUCAGUCCAUUAGUUAUCAUGUACGAGCCAUUGGAAAGUGAUUCAAGGUGAUAGCCCAUAGUGUCUUAAGCCAUUAAUGGACCUUGACUACCAUCUCUAGUGACUUUUUAUGGAUUAAAACUUCAUUGUCAAACCUAUACCAGUUCGGGAAAUAACUAUAGGUUAAAUCCCCAAUGCGAGGAGAAAAAUCCGGAAUUUUCCACUUUGCAUCUGGAACUUGAACUUAGCAACCUUUAGCUCCGGGAGACUUUCUUUCUUACACUUUUUACUUAGUUCUAUGUGAGUUUAGUUUAAAUCACCACUUUCAAAACAAUUUUAUUUUCUUUUAAAUUUCAAGUUUGUGCUAAAGGAAAUCAUCAGAAUCAAUUUCUAAUUUAGAGUCUAUCAUUGGUAGAGUGAAAACCCAUCCCUGAGUUCGACCCUAGAACUGCUAUACUAUAGUAGCUUUGCUACGCCAGUAUAAGGUCAUAGGUUUUAUAAAUGUUUUUGAUUAAAAGAUCCGGCUGGGAAGUCGAGCGUGAAUCACACCUCUAGAGAGAGCGCGCCAAAGCUUCCUCUUUUCCAAAGCUCACCCUUUGGAGUACUAAGAUCAUGAUUAGAGUCAUUUGGCAUAAUACUUUAAGUGUACGAGACAUCUAUAGACUGCAAACUUCUUUUUCACCUGCUUGGAUUCAACCUAAGAGCAUCUAUAUCGUAGAUAUGAGUUUCAAAUCUUUAAAUCUUUAUCCUAAAAUAGUUUUUAAAGUGAUUAUUUUUCAUUGCAUCAGAUCUAGAGAACCCUACAAAUAGAUGCAUGCACCCUAUGAGAUCCAAGGCCUAUGAAUGAAGUAAUCCGGAGUUCCCAACAAAAAUACCCCACAAAACAAUGGUUCCCACACCCUAGAAAGGUUUUAUCAUGUUUUUUGCUAACCUAAGACUCUAAUACAAGACAAUCUUAGAUCACUUUGUUCCCAAAUUUUAGGAUUUAGAUUUUAAGAUUAAUACACUUACCUCAUAUUAGAGUGUUCUCAAAUCUAUUCCAUUUAGAGAAGAUAAAACUUGAAUUUUUCGAAAGUCUUAAAAACCCAAGAUUUUCCAUCAUGAUGACUCUACCUUUAUCUUGGUACUUAACCAGGGGGGUUUUAGAAGGGUGUGAGGCUAGGUCCCUCUCUUAUCUUUGGAUGGUGGAAGAUAACUAACUUGAAACUUUAAACCCUAUUAGGUUAUUUAUAAGGUUGCCUAACUGGGCUUACGUAACUUGAUCCCACCAAGGGUUUAGGUCACUUAAUCUAGCCCAAAAUAGGUCAUAAUUGAUUAAUUAACCCCAUAGGGCCUUCUAAUUAAUCAAUUAACCUAAUCCAGAAACUUUGUUUACUAACCCCUAUACAACAUUGCGUAAUUAUCAAAACACCCUUAUACACAAAAGUGAACCAAUAGUCAAUCUAAUCCUCAUAGACUAUGCCAAUAAGGUAUAUGAGCUCAAAUGAAGACCAUUGAGACCCAAUUUUGAAAUUGAUUUAACAUAUCACUAUACAAAAUCAACUGCCCUCUAAUAACAAUGUAAAUAAUAAUGAGACACUAAAUGCUCGGGUUUGUGACUUAUUAUCUAUUGCAUUUAGUUUUCUUGUGAACGGGUGUCAAGAGUUUAACAAGGUGAAAAUUAUCAGGCCUUCAAAACUAUCUCUAUUAUCAUUGAGUUAUAGAUCUUCCUAUUACAUGCUCAACUGACAUAUCUUAGUUCUCCAACAGCUUAUGUCAAGUUCCAUUUAAGGAACUACUAUGACCAUAGUUUACAUGAACAUAUCUUUUUAAGAUCACACAAGAUGACAUUAUAUCUCAAUUUCAUGAGAUAUCAUGGUGCAUCUAUUGAGAAUACCUAUAACUAUCGACUUUCAUCAAUGGUGACCUAAUCCAUAAAGAAUAUAUGAUCAACUUACGAUCUCACUCGUAAAUCAAAACCAUUGCUAACUUUAACACAACUUUAGUACUCUUUCAAGGUUGAGAAACAAUACAAUGAAGUAGUUUGGCGAAGUCAUGACAAUUUGAUAGCCUUGUAUUAUGACUCAUUGUAGGUCUUGUUGAUGAUGACAUGGAUAGCAUAGGUGUCAAAUAUGUAGCUAGUUUGAUUUAAAGGCAUGAUCCUUUGAAAGCUAGUAGGAGAUUGUUAGGAUAGAGCCUUUAAAAGUAUGAUAUGAUGUAAUAAAUUUUUUGAUUUAUUAUUUAUUAAUAAAGUUCCUAUUCACUUUUAUCUAUCAUCAUUUCAUGUAUUAUACUUUGUAAGCAUUAUAGCUUGCACCUCUUGCAUUGAAUGUGACUUGGAUACAACCAAAUAUAUUCAUGUAUUUGGUUUGAAGUCUUUCAAGGUGAUUUGAGAGAAACAUGAAGUUGAUCCCAUAUAUUAAAAUGAAGCUACAAACUAUGUUGAUGCUCAUCUACGACAAUGAGUUAUAGAGGCAGAGUUAGAAUUCAUGUAUUCCAACAAAGUUUGUGAUCUUCUAGAUGCACUUAAAGUUUGAGACCCAUAGGGUGCAUGUGGGUCUACAAGAGGAAGAGAGCAAUAGAUGAAAAUGUUAAAAAAUAUAAGGCUAGGCUUGUAGCUAGACGUUAUAGUUAGAAACCCAGUUACGACUAUAAGGAAACCUUUUUGCCAAUAACCAUGUUUAAAUCUAUGAGAAUGCUCCUAUUUAUUGCAACGCAUCUUAAUUAUAAGAUAUCAUGUCAAGACAUCGUUUUUUAAUGGUCAUCUUGAUGAGCGCAUCUAGGAAUGGCAACAGGGUGGGUUUGGGACAUGGCACCCCUAUCCCAUUUCCAUCCCAAAAUACAAAACUAUUUUCUAUCCCCAUCCCAAACCCGAGUCGGGGCAAGGUAAUCGUUCUCAACCUGUUUUCAAACAAAAACUAUAAUCUUGUCCCCAUCCUUGUUGCGCCCUGUUUGGCAUAUGCAAAUCUCAAAUCCAUAAUGAAAUUCAACUCCCAAAAAGAAAUUGUCACUUAAGAUGCAACAAAUUGCAAUCAAUUUGAAGGAAAAAAAAACUCAUUUUUUUUUAUCACAAUGAACCCACAAGAUUCAACUCAAUAUCUGAAACGUUUAGAUCAAAUAACAACAAGCCAUGUUAAUACAAAUACCAAAAACCAAUUUUUGAUGACACCUAUAAACAUCUCUACAAGUAAAACUCAAAUUACAAAUCACAUAAUGAUUCAUUUAGCAGAGAAAAAACCCAUAAAAGAAAUAAAACCAACAAGAAAAACACAUUUAGGAUUAUAAUAAUGGGUGUCACUAGAUUCCAAAUCAAUAAGAAACGAAUAGGGAAAAAACUCACAUAGAGGUAGAAUGAAGAGUGGAGGCCAUGAAAACUCUAUGAGAUCUGGUACAAUGAGAUUGAGGAGGAGGGUUGUAGUGGGUGUGAUUUUGGUUGAGCUCUGCCUUUGUGAGAAAAAUCGACUCCACAAAGGUCGAGAGUGAGAAAGAGAAGUAGAGAGAAUAACAUCUCUAUGUUUGAUAAAAAGAGAGGUUGUUUAGCGAGGAACCCUGAGAAUGAAGAGAAAUAUUUAUAGGGGUUUUUUUUUUGGUAUAUUGUAAAAUUGUACAUUCAGGGCGGGGCAAGGCGGGUUAUUACAAAACCUAACCUCGACCUAAACCCAAUUCGGGUUUUAAUAAAUAAACCCAACCCCGGCCCAAACCCGAUUCAAGUUUUAAUAAAUAAACCAAAACUCGCCCAAUCCCUAAUUACUACACUCCCAUACCCAUCCUAAUAGGGGCGGGUAGCCCGAAAAACCCGUGAAGUUGCCAUCCCUAAGCGCAUCUAUGUGAUGUAACUGGAUAAUUUCUUACUAAAAGGCCAAUAGCAUCUAAUAUGCAUGUUGCAUAAAUUCAUUAAUGAAUUAAAACAAGAAUCUCACUCAUGGAACAAACAUUUUGAUUAAACAUUGAGACUUUUGAUUUUGAUCAAAAUAAGAUAAGCCUUAUGUAUACAAGAAGAAGUAGGGAAACAUGAUGGCAUUUUUCAUCUUGUAUGUUGAUGAUGUAGGGUUACUAUCAUCAAUUAAGAUUUAGUUAUCUACUUAGUUCCAAAUGAAAUAUUUAGGAGAAGCACAAUAUAGUUUUAGGAUUAAGGUUCUUAGGGAUCACAAGACUACGAAAAUUGCAUUAUCUCAAACCAUCUAUAUUGAUAAGCUUUUGGUCAAAGUAUGUGAUGUAGGACUCCAAGAAGGGUUUGCUACCCUUUAGGCAUGAAAAUCAUCUUUCUUAAGAUUAGUAGCCUAAGAUAUUCAAAGAUAAAGAUCACAUGAAUAAAAUACCCAAUGCCUUUAUGGUGGGUAGCCUUGUGUAUUUAAUGUUAUGUACUAGAUUAGAUGUGUACUUUACUAUAGGGAUGAUGAGUAGAUAUCGGUUCAAUUCAAGACUAGAACAUUGGACAAAAGUAAAAAACAUAUACUCAAGUAUCUUAAAAGAACGAGAGAUUAUAUUUUGAUGUACCAUUGUGAUGAGUUGAUAUUCCUUGGGUACAUAAAUUCAGACUUUUGAUUUGAUAGGAUUUAAUAUUCCAAUUCUUAUAUUUGAAUAAGUUAGACUUUGGAAUUAGAAAAAUAUAUCUAUUUUUAUUCAAGCGUUUGUAUAUAGAAUUAAAAACAGAACAAUUAAUUAAAGAAAAUAUUCUUUCAACUCAAUUUAAUAUAUGAAUUCUUAAAUUAUAAUGCUCAAACUUUAAAAUAUAAAAGAAAAUUUAAAAUUAAAAAGAAUUUAUUAAAUAUUAUUAUUUUCUUUAAUUUUAGAAUGCAUGUAGUUUAUUAAACAUGUAGAGUCAUAUUAUGCUUAGUAGUCAUGUUUCACCCUUCAUAAGAUAGGGGUUGGAUAGUGCCUUGCAAUUUCCCAUCCAUUGUCUUCAUUAUAAUACUUUAAUAUGUGGUAUUAUGGGAAGCCUUUAAUUAUCAUAGGACACAUAAGCUUUAGUUUGAAAAUUGAAUAAGAUAACCAAGAUAUGUGCAGUUCUUUUAGUUUAUCAAUGAAUUUAGCAUGUUAAAAGUACAUAGAAAUUUAUGUAUAUAUUUAAUAAUAUAUCUUAGACCAUAUUUGGUUCGAUUUUUAAGAAGUUAAAAGCUUUUUUUUAAGCUCAAUAAGAGCUUUUUUUUGUCUCUUUAGGUAAUUUUGUUCAAACAAUUUAUCUUAAUAGGGAAGUCAAGAAGAUAUUACUUCUUGUAGAAGUUCUAUUUUGACUUAUAUAAAAAGCUUUUUCAUAUCUAAUAAGGCUUUUACAAUACCAAAAUUACCCUUUAAAAAUUGUGACUUCGUUUCAACUUCAUCUUCUAGUUAAAGCCAAAAAUUGGAAGUUAUCUGAAAUAAGACUUUAGUAAGCAACUUCCAAUAUGGUUUGUUAAAUUGGAAGAGAGGAGUUGACGGAUGGGGAGAAUUACUCCUAGUAUGCUAAGAUAUGUAUCAAAACAUAAAAUUAAAAAACAAAGUUUUGAGACUUAAUGCAAAUUCUUCAAUAAUAGUUUAUACUACAAUUAUGCACUUUUUUAGAAGGAUAAUUUCUUUAGGUAGAGUUAUAUGUUUUGGGAACCAUGUUUUCAUAACUCAUACUCUUUAACUUAUAUGUCAUUCUUUAUCUAGCUUUCUAGUUAAAGAUUUUACUCAUUUGGUUCAAUAUAAUAGUUUGAUAAAUAAAAUUAAAAAUGACUUCACUUUUGGUCUAGCUCUAUACCAAAACAUUAAAAUCCUUACUCUAAACAGUUUGAUGGUGAUGGAUUCUCCAUCUCCUCCUCUUCUAUAUCUGUAUCUUUCCUUCUAUAUCUCAUCAUUAGUUAGAUGAAGUUAUUUUGAUUAUGUCAUUUUUUGAGCACUAUAUAUAUAAUUGAGAUUUUUUAGCAAGAAUAUUACCUUACAUAUACUACUAGCAAGUCUAAUGGACAAAAGUGGGCACAAGACAUGAAUAACAAGUUUGCAACAACAAGGCCAUGUUGUACUCUACCUUUUCAUCUCUUUUAAAUUGACCCUAGUCCCUUAAUCCUAAAAUUACUCAAAGCCAAUUUGCUUCACUCAAGAGGAGGUCUUAGGUAAUCUGCACAAAUGUUUAUAGGUUUAUUGGUAACUUUUGAUAAUCUUUUAUUCAUUCCUCAAGAUUAAAAAUUUUUUGUCACUGACAUUUAUAUUAUAUUAGUAGAUUUUCCAAAUGUAUAUGAAAAUCUACAUUUUUGGUAUUUUAGUAUUCCUCUUCCCAUCACUAAUCUAAGAUAGUGAACCAAACAUUGCAAUGAUACUUGAUGUUACUGCACCAAAUUCUCUAGGCACUUGAUUAACACUCAAAAUUGAGGUUUUCUCAUACUUAAAACAAGGAUUUUAUAAAACAUUUCGAGUGUCAAUCCACUCUUUUAACUUAAAUCUAUGCUAAGUCCUCAAUUGGGGACUAAUAUGUUUGUUUAUCUACUAUAGAAUGCAACCAAAAAAAAAAAAAAAGAGAGAAUAAAAAGUGUGAUUAAGAAGAUUUUCAUGCCAAAAUAUAUUUAAUAGAUAGCUUUUGGUCCUAAACCAUAGAUCCCUCUCAUUAUGAAUUCAACACUAAAUUGUGAAAAUUCCGAAAUACAUUUCUUUUUACUUUAUUUAUUUCAUUAAAUAUUUUAGAAAAUCAUCUUUCACAUUUUUUAUUUUAAUUAAUUAAUAUUUAUCACUAGGAGGAAGAAUAGUACUUCAUUGCUACAAAUAUGGAUUAUUGAAACAAAUAAGACAUGUAUUUGGAUCUUUUCCUUUAACUUACAAUAUUGUACUUUUUAUGACAAUGGAUUAUGGAAAUGUGUGACUUGAACUUUUGAUUAGGCCUUGCAGAUAUAUACCUUUAUCUAAAAUUCACAACCAAAUGUGUCUUUGUUCUAACCACCGCAUAAGCCCCAAACAGAAUAUGAUAGAUUGGUUUGUUUAUUUUUUAUUUAAAUUUGAUGGACAAUUAAUAUUUUGAACUCAAUAACUAAAUAUAUUAAUGUUGAUCUCAUAGGAUAACAACUCGAAUACUAUAAGUUGUAGUGAUUUUUUCUCUAGUUUUUUUCUUGAUAAGUAUAUGAACUAAGGCUUAAACUUUAAUACAAAACAGAAGUUCUGUCAACACCUAUAAAAUCAAGGAUGUUCGAUCAACAAGAAUUCAUCAACCACCAACUAAUUAGAUAAAUGAUCUCUUAACUUUCAUUCUGCAUCUUUUCCUAUUUAGAGUUCAUUUAGUUGUACCAAUAGACUGCAAACUUACUGCACCUUCUUGAGCAAUAUUUCCAAAGUAAGUGAACAUGUCAAUUUUCACUAGGAUAAUGCACAAUUGGAAUGGAGAGAAUCCAUGAAAAAUGUACUUUAAGCACUUGAUGAAAACAAUACUGUGGAUAUUGUCAAAUUAUUUAAGAGAAAAAAGUUAGAGGGAUGUCAACAAGUUAAUAAAAUCAAAUAGAACAGUGAUGGAAUGGUUGAAGAAUACUAGGUAUGAUUAGUAGUGAGGAUAUUGUCAAAUUAUGUAAGAAACCACCAAUAUGGCUUCCCCGAUUGGAAGAGGAACUUCUGAUGAGUACAGCCUUCACAAGAAAAAACCAGAGGGGAAAAAUAACUAGUUGUAUAACACAAAGGAAAAUUCAAUGUUACAUUGGGUAGGGAGCAAGGGAAUUUCAAUCUCAAUGGAAAAAAGUUUCCAAUGUGAAUCAAAAUUAACAAUGAUCAACCCCAUUAAGACAAUCCACAAUUAAAGAGGUUGUGAAGUAAAUCUACAAAAAUUGAUAAUCAUCAGAGUUAGAUGCUGAAAGAGAAGCCGUCCAGCCUCAUGGAAUGAGAGAAAGUGAUUAAUCAGCACGCGGCAACAAGAAACUAAAGCCAGAAUUCUCACGAAUAAGUGGUGGUGGUUCAAUGUCAGAUAUGUCUAUUUGUUCCAUAGACUUUGAUAUAUCAUCAACUGAAAAUGGAAUGCUGCACCAUAAAUGAUAUUAUCAGCAUCCACUUUGAGAAUAUAACACGUCAGAAUAGAUGUAUAAGAGCUUUUUUUUUUUUUUUUUUUUCUUUUUGGCUACUACUAAAGCUUUACCAAGUUAUGUCUAGAUCGGUUCUUCUUCCAAUCUCUAUCUAAUCUGUUACAUCUUUUAGGCUUAGAUCAUUUUAUGAAUAAGCACAUUUAAAAUCCAAGUACACAUUACAAUAAGCCUAAAAUUAUAUAGACUGCUAAAAUCCUCAAGCAGUUUGCAAGUCUAAUUAUCAUGCAUUUUGGAUUCUGAAUAUAAGAUUAAAGUUUUUAAAUAACAGUUGAAGAUAAAACAGAAUAACUUUCUUUACACCCAUUCCAGGUAUAUUUCCAAUCAGGUUAAUAUGAAAUGAAAGAAAAGGAAAGAACAUAUCAUCAGAUAGUUGAAUUUUGUAACCUACCUUGAAUCAUCAUCCAACAGGAAAGAAUUGCUGACUGCAUUGUUCGAAUCUUCAGUCAUCAACACCCUCAUGUUGGAUAUAACCUAGAUGGCAACAUUCACAAGGCAAAACUUACCAUAGUUAGUUUUUCCUAAUUUAUGUAGUGCUAUGAAAAUUAUCAUACUUCCUUGUGACAAAGAUGGCUCGAACCUAGUUUGAGUAAUGGCAUCCAUAGAAACUUACAUCUGGGGACACACUAUGCGUGCCAUACUUGUCAUCCCAGUACAUUGUACUGAUCCGAUACAGCUGCUGUAUACUGAGCACCUGCAAAUGGAGAAACAAGAUUGGUUGAGAUAAGGUAGAUGUGAAUGUUAUCUCUCAUUUUUGUCUAUAGGAACACUGGUUACCGGGCAUAGGUCAUGGCUUAUUUCAUCAAGGGUUUUCUUUGGCUUUUGAUGUAUGACCUGAAUCAGGAAAUAGAAAUGUCAAGAUUUCCCCAAUUCUUAUUUCUUCAGCCUUAGAACAAGUAAUGAUGAGAUGAACUGCAAAGGUUUACCAGAAACCCAAUAGCCUGCCUGAUAUGCUUGAGCUCAUCCCAAGCUGAACCUGCAUACUGCAAUUUUUUUUUUUUUUUGUUUAUUCAGCAAGUAGGUUAUUGUACAAUAAUGAAAUGAAGGCACAGAAACCAAGAUACCUCAUCGGUUGCCUUGUAACACCAAUGUUCCAGUUCAGCCAGUCCUGCUUUAACAUAUUCACCAUUACUAAAUGAACAGCACUCUCGUCGUAAUAGAAGGCUGCAACCAUAACAAUGUGUGCAAGACCAUAAGGAAAAAACUUCAAUCUGCGGUACAGAAAAUUACUAUAGAAUAUGAAAUACUGACUCUAUACCUGUUGAAUAAUUGGACAUUGAUGAAAGAAAAUAUUUGUGUGAACACCUUACGAACUAAAAAUGGGGGUACCUGGAAACAGAAGAGGUGGGAAAAGGUAUUUCACUGUAAAUAUGAUUUCAGAACAAAUACCAUAAGAGCAGGAAAAGAAUUUUCCUAGCAUGGUCUUGCCAAGUAAUGGACAAAUAAUUUGCCAAGUCAGAUAGUUUGAGUUGGCUUAGGCAUGUACUCAAGAGACACGAAAUAUGCCAAGAGUAACACAGACAGCCAAUCAUUAUCAUUUAGGUAAGGAAAAGGGCAUAAUGAAAAGAAAUCCGCUGGACCCCCACUAACAUGAUUUGCUUUCAAAGUAUUCAAGAAAUUUCCAAGGCUCUUCACAAUCCCUUGCCAAUGAGCAAUCAAAGCUUGUUGAGCUGCAGUGUUUGCAACAGAACGUGACGGUCCCUUAACUAAGCUUGCUCUUGAUAUUCUUGGUGCCUAAUUCAUUAUUAUCCAAAAAAGAAAUUUAUACACAUAAGUAAUUCAAAAGGAAAGUCAAUAAAAGAGUUUAUUGUCAUGACUGGGUGCAUAAAUGAUCAGAUUCAUGUACCUGGAUGCACAACCCCAGUAAAGGAGAAAUCUCUUUCUUCAGAUUAUCACGAAUCAUUCCAUAAAUUUUCUCUACAUAUGCUGUAAGCUGCUGUUUGAAAAGCAGCGCUGGGUAUUUGGCUUCAACUUGGCGUAAAGUUUCCACUCCACCGGUUAGACCACCAUUUGUGAAGGAAAGAUUAACUCCUUGUGGAGCUCCACGAAAACUCUGUAAAGAAAAUUAUACAAACAGAUUUGAACAGAAAAGAAUUUUUUCUGAAAUAAAUAAUAGGUUCGAGAGAGAUUGUACCUGUGUCAUCCUUCCAAACAAUGUAGCUGAUGAUGAUCGACGGCGCUGUGGAGCCAUUCCAGCUGCACCACUUGCUUUCAAUGUGCGCUGGAGUAGUAACAGAAGAGUUGAGGCAUUGGAUAACCAGUAGGCCAAAAUGUCAUUGUUAUCCUGGGUCUGCAAUCAGAAUGGAAUAUUUAAAUAAAAAGGGAAGCUACUAAUCAUAAAAGAAGAAGAUAAUGCACCAUACUAGCAUAUAGGAUUGAACAAUUCAAACCUCAAUAGCCUGGCCUAUUGUCUGGAUAAUCCGGUCAAAAACACUAGUCCGUUCAACUUCAAAUGAUCUCCAUUGCAGGAGGCAUUUGUAUAUGAUACAGGCAGCAAUUGGUCUACUUCCUGCAAAGCCUAAGUGUUGUGCAAUGCAUCGAAUGAGCAGUUCCUGAUUCUCCUGCUGCUUCUCAUUGAGUGAUUUUUGUGGUUUCUCCUCUACUUCAGAAAACUCCCUUUGGUUUAGUGAAGGGCUAUGCAGAUCCUAAUAAUUUUAAAGGUGAUCAAUCAAAGAGAAAGAAAAUAUUGCUUUCACAAAACAGACCUUUAAGUUUGAAAGAGAUUUUUAGCAAUUUUACAUACCAAAGAAGUCCUUGCAUCCCCUGCAACAUGACCACCUUCAGAACUCCUCUGCCAAUUAUCAGACAUCAAUAAGUUUCCUGAAACAUCUAUAACAUUGAAUAUCAAACACCAAUUUGACAAGUCAUUUCUAUGAUUACCUGAACAAUUGAUUUGGAGCGUCCUGAAAGAAACUUAUUGGGUGCCAUGGACACAGCCUGUUGACGGAGAACUUGAUUUUCUGAUUCUAAAUUAGUAAGCUUCUCCUCUAGCCUAAUUACAGAAGUUCAAGUGUUUGGUUAACCGUACUACAAAAGGACUGGUACUGACUACUUUCCCAAUAUAAACAUGUAACUGCUGCAUAGAACAUGGGAAAUGGUACUAGAAAUGGACAAAAGAAGUUGAAGUAGUUCAAAUAUUUAACUUCAAAACAUCAAUGGUCAAACAUCAAAUGUUAAAUGCACAAGACAAUUUCAACACAAAUAAACAGUAAGGUCAAUAUAACUUUUGAAGAAACUAAAACAUCAAUGCUUAAACAUUAAAUGUAAAUGCAGAUUAAUUUGUUUCUUCUACUUCUUACAGAGAUAAAAAGGGGGGAAAUAACUAAUGCAUAGAACUAAGAACUUAUUUUUGUAUUUGGUUAGUGAAUUCCUCUCUUAAGAUCAUAACUAAUUCAGUCACAGACCAAGCACUUUUUGCAUUUAUAGCUGUAGUCCAGCAACUGGUCAAUUGAUCUAUCCAGUAGCUGAUUAUGAGAACUUUCAAUUGGAACUUUAAAUUCUUUCAUUUAUGUUAAGAAUGGAUAUUUUUCAGUAACAGUGUUACAUGCAGUCAGAAUGGAACUAUUUGUUUUUGAAGUAUUAGACUAGCGAACCAUACAUUUGAGAAUGUGGUCGGUUUAACAAUCUUCCUUACAGAGAUUUGAUUGCUGUCAUGAUCAUUUGACACUUUGUCUGACUUUACACUAAAAAUUAUCUAUUCAUGAAAACUUUCAAGAAAACCACAUAUAAGAUGUCCACAAGAUAAAUGAAAAUCAGUAACAUGAGGGAAAAUCAUUCUUAAAGUGUUAUGCUACCUGCUCAAUGAUUCCUGGAGUUGCUGAACCUUUUUUUCUGUUUCUUCUAAUUUUUUAUGUCUUUCUUCACUAGAUUCUUGGGCUUCAGUAUAUUUCUUCUCAGAAUUGUCAGCUCUUUCUUUUUCUGACUGCAACAAGGCCUGUGGGGACAUAAAGGUUAAGAUCAUCAAAAUAACAAGAUCAUUAUCCAGUGCUAGAAAUAUAAAAAAACCUAUGCCCACCCAGUUGAAUCUUAGUUAAAUUUGUAAAGCUUACAUGCAUCCUGUUAUAGCUAUAGUUAAAGUUUGGCAACAUUAGUUGUUUCACUAGUAAAGUUUAACCAAUCCAAUCACUUCAGGCUAGCUCAAAGCUGCAAAACAGCACUGAUGCUGAUUUAGUCAUUUCACAGAUAAAGCAGGAUAAAUAAUGCAUCCCAAGACUUUUACCUUUUUGGUGAACCACCUGUUUAAGUAAUCAUUAGAUGCGGCCCUUUUGAUUCAAAUUAUUAUAACUAACUAGUUAUGUCGAUGAUCUCCGCCAUUUUUAUUUUGGCACCAAAUUUCACUCAAAUUAUAUAAAGUAAUAAACUUAUCAGAUUGCAAAUUGACUAAACAGAACUUUACUAAAUUUAAAAUCCAAAAUGUAGGUGCAACUCUUUACUAAAUUUAAUACCUCCUACCUCAUCAUGUUGAUCUAUUAUUAUCUACAAUCCAUAAUCUAGUCAAUAAAAAAUUUGCCCUUACUCUCUAAAAAUCAUUAUGCCGUGUGAUUUUUGGUUCAUGUUGGUUAUUCUGAGUGCAAUAAAAUUCAGAAAACUUUGCAAAGGUAUCUAUGUCCAAAUGCAGAAGAGAAUAGGUAGUAAUAAUUUGGGUCAAACCGCAUUACCUUGAAGCUCUCCACUUCUGCUGUUAGAGACUCAACUUUUUUGGUAUCUUCAACAAUAACUGGGGUUUCUUUAAUAACAGGUGGUGCCUCUUCAAUAGCCUUUCUUGCAGCCUCUCGUUCCUUGACAAGUAAUGCAUUUGUUUCAUCAACUUUGGUUUGCAUAGCUUGCAAAGAAUUCUGCAAUUUUGCUAUCUCCUGUGCUUUUGCUUCUUCUAAGUCAGUCUGUGCACAUGGUUUCAGAUUUUGGAUGAGAGUGUGUACAUUAAACAGGACAAAUUAGAAUUUCUAAGUCCUUAAGAUGGUGUAGAAUAAAAAAAUUAAGCACUUAAAAAAGGUUGAAGUCAAAUAGUUUCCUGUUAGAUUUUUUAAUUGAAAGUACAUCACUUGGUGCAAGAACAAAAGAAUCUUUUGGUGAAUUCUUUUUUUUUUUCUUUUGAUAGGUAAUUUUUUUCUUAAUUCUAAAUGUGUCACAAUCUUGGAUCUCAACUUCUCAAAGCAGACGAACACAUAAGACUAGCAAUAUCUUCUAGACUAAUUAGUGGCUCUCCUCAGAAUAUAAAUAUUUACCCUUAAACGCUUUUCCAACUGUAGACGCCAUGUUAAAUCCUCCACUGUUUUUUCGAGCUUGUCCUUCGCUUCUUUAAGUGCACCUGUUUCUCUUGCAGCCUACAAAAAAUUGGUAAGGGAUAUUAGCAUCCAAGCUGGGAAAAAGAAAAAAUUCAUGAUAUACUGCCUUCACCAAAAUGGAAUACCAUACAUAAUCCUUUUAUAUCAUUAACGGGAUGGAGACCAUGUGGUUGUGCAGAAAGUACUUAAUAAAAAAUGGCUCAGCCUAGCUUCAGUCUUCUGUCUACAUCUUACAUUAGUUAUCGAUGCAAAGGCAAAACUUUUUGGCUGAAACCUGAAUCUACAGGGAAAGGAUAGCUGUUCACUUGAUUAACAAUAAAGAGGACAGCUUAAUAAUACCUUCAUCUGUUUGUAGAUUAUAUAUAGUACCUCAAAUUUACUACCAGGCACAUGGAACAAAUAUCAGUUUAUCUUACUAAGUCUUUUUUUUUUUGUGCAAACAUCAUAUUCAGAUAUAGAUUUAAUAAAAGUGAGACAAAUGAGUCAUGUAGAAAUUGAGAACUCAAUUAUAUCUUAAACAAUGAUGAUGAAUAUAUUAGCUAAACUACUAUACACCCUAAAUCAACAAAUCAAAACUUCUAGGUGCAUACGGUGCAGCUAAAGCCUUAAAUCCACUAAUUGGGGGUACCUACAAAAUCCUUUUUAGAUUCUGGAUUCUGGGUCCAUGAAGUUGUAACUUGGGGGUUUACUCAUCAUCUAAGUCAUCUACAAAAAGCAGACUUCCCUCACCCAAGCUUAGGAUUGAUAAAACCUUACUCCCAUUCCAAUUUAUAAUUGUGUUAAAAGCCAGGGAAAAUAAUCAAUCCUUGUACUAAACAAGGUAAGCCAUCAUCCCUGUUACAGUGCAUGAUAUACAGUGUGAGGUCAAAUCCUACAAGCUUAAGCUUUUAGGAAAAUUGGUUGUUCAUCAUGGAAUUAGAGCCUUGUUUGAUGGGAGGUCAUGUGUUCGAACCUUGCAACCAUAUAUUUGUAUCCUCAAUUAAUUAAGCCUAAAAAAAGGCUGAUUGUGGUUGUUUGCUUAUGGGCCAAUGUGUCUCUCCAUGUGUGAGUAUGGGGCCGCACGUGAGGGAGGGUGUUAGAGUGCACGAUAUACAUUAUAGGACCAACUCCUACAAGCUUAAUCUUUUAGGAAAAUUGGUUGUUCAACAAUCCCCAUUAAUGUACUGGCACUUUUGCCCAACUCCUAUGGCAAAAGACAAACAAUGCUGACCAUUUUCAGCUUCCUGAGCUCUUUCUUGGCUACUCUUCCCCUCCAUCUGCAUUGUGAAACUAUUGCUCCUCUCUUGAGCUUCUUGUAGAAUGAGAAAGCUCUAUGACAGCGCCACCGGGCCUGCAUAUAGUUUUUUAAAAGAGCAUUUAUUAUUCAGAAUUCAGUAUACAGGGAAAUUGGCUUUCAAAAUAUAUAAUGGUAAGAAUAAAAUAACCUGAAUAACAAUUGCUGCUUUAGUUUGCUUCCUAAAUCUGAAUUCUCUAUGAGCAGCCAUUGCUCUUAAGCCUGUCUGCAAGACAAGCACUGAUACUCGAAGCUUGUUAAAGGUUUUUCUGGCUUCAUGUCUACGUAUGUUCUUCUGAAUUUUCACAGCAGCAGCCUCUCUUCUCAUGCUCUCAUAAAGUUUGCAAGCCAGCAUUCCUACAAUUCAUAUAAAAGACAUAUGAAAAUGGAAUUGAAAAAGGAAAAUGAACGAUCAGUCAAUUGAUGAUCCAGAGAGCUAUGCUGCAAAAGAAAAAUGGAUAGGAAGAAACUAAAACUACAACCAUAUCCUUCCAAUAAGAAGAGUGGCUCAAAAAACCAUGCUUUCAAGAAACAACUCUACAUUUAGUUGUGAACUAUGUUCAUGCUUUGUUAUUUUCAAAUGGAUUACCUCUCCAUAAAGAUUGCACAUGAAUGGUAGCCUUUCGCAAUGCAAUAAAACGUUUGCGAGCAUGAUAAGUCCGUAUACGCCUUUGGAUAGCCUUUGCUGCAUUACUAAGUACCUCUGCUCUUCGUGCAUCUAAUUCAGCCAUCUGACCAGCGCGUAAGAAAACCUUUGUCUUACCUAUCUGCAAGCAAUUUAGUGGAGAAUCAAAUAUAUACCUCUUGCCAAAGAUAUGGGUGGAUGCAUGGGAAUUCAUAAUUUAUACGUAUAUAAAACCAAAACAUGAUAAUAUUUUGCUUAACAUAAUUCAAGGUUCACAAAAGUCUGUGUUUGUAAAUUUUUGAAAGGUAUAGAUCAGAAAUUAUUCUAUAGGGAUGCUGCAAUAUGCUGGAUGCCAGCAAUAACUGAAUGAAGUGUACUAUUUACACAAAUAUGAUGUGAUCAAGGAACCUGUGUUUCAUUUGUUAUCACCAGUCAAUACAGGCAAAAAAGAAAUUCCUGUAUUACCUGAAACCCCUUAAGCCCCUUUUUCUCCAGAAUCUUUCUGCAUGCAACCUUUUCAUCAUAGCUGCUUAUACAUGCAAUAGAUUUGAAAAGGAGAAUAUGAACAUCUACCCAAGUAAAAUCAGAAAUUCUCAAAAAAAAGAAAAGAAAAAAUCCAACUAGCCUAGUACCCAGGCAGCAAACAAAUUACAAAAUUUCCACUCAGGCUUCAAUUUAGCCAAAAGAGGGCACUUACUUCCCUUCUAAAACUUCUUGAGCAAGAAUUCCAAAUCGAUUUAGGAAUUCAAAAAAAGGACGGCGUGUAGGAUACCCAGCACAACUGAUUCUGAUGGCCUCUAAAACACCCUACACAGAAACCAGUUAGUGACAACUGAAUGAAUUAAAACUAAGAAAAUUUGAAUAUGUAAGUGAAAAAAGCUUAAAACUACAAAAGUUAAAUUGUACUCACACCACAACGUAGUUGUUGCAUGAUAUUGACAUUCUCAAAUAUGGCAGGUUUUAGAAGGUUGUUUGGCUUUACACAUCUGAUGUAGUGAGGUUCUGUGGAGUUUAAUGUGUCCAUCAAUUGCUGUAGUUGUAGCUGCAUCAUUAGAUCGUAACAACAUUAGCUGUCAACUUCUUGCACUAAAAAAAACACAGGGAGCAGUGGGAGAAGUGCUGUAAAGUGGUAGUUGGGUUUAUGCUCUUAUCACAAUACUUCCAUGGUUGUGUUACAUUGAGUUGUCCUGUUGAAGUAAAAGCCAUCACCAUCCUCACCAGGAUAACAGAAGAAAAGAUACCUUAAAACGAGAACCAAUUGAAGAGAACUUAGAAGAUUUGGCAGACUCUUCAGGGAGUGGAGGGAAAAGGCCUGCUACAAAAGUACAUUUAGAAGCACCCAACAAGUCUUGAUGUUCUGGAACCACAUAGUCUUUGUUUUUGUCUAAAAAUUGGUCAGAUUGAUAUAGGACCUGAAAAUAAAUAUUAUAAGGGAAAAUAUCUAAAUGCAAAAGCAGCCAGCAGUAAGCAGCAACUGAUGACAACAUACCUCCCCAGCAUAAUGAGAAAUAGUGAAAUCUGUGCGAGAUAGUUUUGGCUUGAUAAAGCGCUUGUGAACUUUAAAUGUCUGAUAAAGCUUCUGUGAGAAUGUUUCAUGUGUUGAUUUUGGAAACAUGCUGCAAAACAAAAAUUCCCAGUGAACAACAAGCUUAAAAACCUAUAAAUUUUCCUAAAAGAAACAUCAGACUUCUAAGAUCAAUGUUCUUAUUAGAAACUAACACUUCUAUUGUAGCAUGUUAAAUGAACUACAGCAACCUUCCUCAGACAAGAAAUAGAGAAAUUUUAUAGAAAAAUGCAGAGAAUUUUGUACCAAGCUUCAUCUAGGAGAGCAACGAUUCCACCGGGUUUCUGCCAAAAAAAAAAAAACAUAAUUUCAAGUUUGUGGAUGAAAGCAAAUUCCAGUAUCCAGGUCCAAAUGGAAGGACAAAAAACAAGCUUGCCAUAUACUAAAACAUGAAAAAAGGGGUAUAUAAGGUAAAAAUGCUCCUUUGGUGAAAAUAAUUUUCAGUUAAAAUAACCUUCCAAGAGAGAAGUUUUAGUACUUAACAUUUCAAUAAACCUGGUAAGUCUGUUUUCAGGAGCAACCAAUAUAACCACAAUCCAAGAUCAUUGAAGUUCAUUCUGUUAAAAUGCUUUUCAGAGCCAUAGAAAAAUUAUUCUUGUUUACAUAAAAUCAACCAAAAUUGUAAUUGCAGUAGAAUCCUUUGCCUAUUAGAAACCAAAAAUAGGAGCUUGAAGGUUUUUAAAAUGAGGCACCAAGUGGCAGAUGCAAACAUUCUAGUAUACCCUAGCCAUUCUAGCACUCAUAUAAGCCACAUGAGGAGUAUGAGGCAUCAUUAUCAGAAGUGCACCAGUCCAGAUGGUAGGACCAGUAACCUGGUCACCCAGUCACCAUUUUCUUAAAAGAUAUGGUUUAUACACAAACAUGCUAGCUUGAUGGACAAUUUUUGACCAGGCAGGUGGCGAGAAUAAAACUCUUAACUGCCUUGAGAAAUGUGAUGCAACAGACAAGUAUUCAAUCUGCAAUCUGACUUAUGACAAUGGCAUAUCGACCAUUUUUCUACAGCAACAUCCUUCUUACUAGUUACCUCCUCUUUAUGUCUAACAGCUUGUCUAGGCCCAGAUAAAUGAAUAGAACAACUUUUGAAUCACAUUUAUAUAAAUGCACUAAUAAAUGUCUGAGUAAGCUCAACCCUCUAAAUCGGUUGGUAUCUGCUUCAGUUUUGAUAACUAGGAUAUAAGGUUCAUCGUCACUAAUCAAUGGCUAUUAAUGCAGAAGAAAAGAAUAAAACCUUUUCAAUGAGAUCCAGGACAUCUUGAUUAUCAACAAAUUCAAUGUAGCUCCAAUCAAUUUCUUCUUUUGUAUAUUCUUCUUGUUCCAUCUUGAAGACAUGCUGAGAAUUAUCAACAAAGCAUCUUAAGUAAAAAUAAAAUUUGAAUCAAAGCUGAAACGGUUAUGGUCUGAGAAGUUACCUGGUUAAAAUGUUGCUGCAGCUUCUCAUUUGUGAAAUUAAUGCAGAAUUGCUCAAAACUGCACAGCAUGAUAUGAUGAAAUUAAGUUACAAGUACUGCCAAGCCCUUCAGAGAUAACUAUAUAAAACAUUAUCUUAAUAUUUUAUUAUUGACUUGUUUUGGCUUUUCUAGCAGCUGUUACCUGUUAGUCUUAAAGCUUUCAAAACCGUAGAUGUCAAGGACCCCAAUAAGAGAUUUUGAAUUAGGAUCUUGUCCAAUUGAGACAUUAAUUUUAUCCACCAACCUGCAGAUAUUAAGUUAAGCACACUUAGCAUCCCAGUCCUUGGUCUGUUUUGUCUAUUAUUUAGGAAUUAAAAACAAUUUAAAUAACCCAAGUGAAGAAAACUAAUAAAAUUAUUCCAAAAGUUUAUCAUCUUACCAGUCAAACAAUCGAGAAUAUAUUGUCUUAGCAAAACCAUCCCUGCUAACUGUUGCAGCAAGAGGAUCAAGACUUCGCUUUAUAACUUCUUCGGGGGUGAUCAUGACACGUUUACAUAAUGCAUCUUCCAAGGCCAGAGGGUCACACCUGAAAUAAAGAUUAAACUCAAUCUAUAAUAUAUAAAGAAAUAUAUCAAAUGUCAGAACAUAAAUGUGAGUUGGACUUCACUCAUACAUUAGAAGCUCUGCUGUCAUUUUAAGAUGGAAUUUUGCCUUGUCAUCUUUUGGAACUGAAGAAUCAACUUCCUUUCCCUUAGUAAAUUCAAUGUUGCCGAUAUGGAGAAUUGAAGCAACAACUCUGAAGAUUGCUUCCUGGAGAGAGUGAGGGAGAGAGAGGGAGGGAGAGGGAGGGGGAGAGAGAGAGAGAGAGCAUUUUUCUCAAUUCAAUGUUAUAAAGAAGUUGAAUAUAUGCAAUAAACAUAGUUUUACAUAUACCUGUUCCUUUUCACUUAUUCCAACAAUAUCCAUAGCUCUCCUAGUGGCAAGAUAGUCGUGGGCAUCACUCACACCAACCAGUUCAUAGCAAUUUGACUGGUUCAGAUAGUGAAAUGAUUUGGGGUUUCCUAGCUUGUAUUUCUCAAUUUCCUGGAAACAUAUUAACAUUAGUUAUUUUGAUAAAUUGAAAAAAUUGAACAUCUCAGUAGCUCAGUCAUCCCAACUGGAAGAUACCUCCUGUGGUGCUGCACAAAGAAGGUAGAAGCAGUGGUAAUUGCGUUCAGGAUCAGAAAUUUGGCACACACGAGAUCUCUCUAGAAGAUAAGUUCUGAUGGCCGCUCCAGAUAUUCUUCCUUGCUUAUCAAACUGGAUCUCAACAAAUUUACCAAAGCGGCUGCACCAGGAUUAAUUUUAGGAGAAACAUCAAAACCAAAACUAGAAAAAGUCUCCGGAAUUUUACCAUGUUUAUAAAUAGUCAACAAAUAAAUUAAGAGGAACUGGUUCAUGCAAUCAACACUGCCCAUAAAAAAAAUAAAAAAUAAAAUAAAAGAAAAAAACGAUACAAAACUAGGUACCAAAUUCACUAAAUUGUCCUCCAUGGUACAAAGACUGAGUGCUGGAAGCCAAUGAAUGAAACAAGUCAACAUGGAAUUGAAGUCAAGUUAUAUGAUGAACAGGAUUCAUAUCAGGAUAGCCAUUAGCACCAUAUUUCACCACUCAAGUUGAAGAAUGUCUCACCUGGAAUUAUUAUUUCUAACAGUUUUGGCAUUGCCAAAUGCUUCAAGAACUGGAUUUGACUGCAUUCAUCAGAAAAUAUAGAAGUUCCGUAAGAGGUCAUUAACAACAUAAUCAAUAGAAAGUAACAAGCAACUUAAACUCAAUUUAGUAGAAAUAGAGAGUUUAUCAAUCAUACUUCAAGAACUUGUUGUUCAACUGUGCGUCCUUCGGUAGCCACCCGACCACCCAGAAAGGCAAGGUACCGCAUAAGCAUUUUGGUUGUCUCAGUUUUACCUGCUCCACUUUCACCACUGACUAGAAUUGAAUUGCUUUUUCCUUCAUUGAUCAUUGCCCUGUUUUGAAUUGGACACUGGAUCAUCAGAAACGUCAAAGAGAGAGAGAGAGAGAGAGAGAGAAAGAAUUCCUUGGCAACAAAAAUGAACUGGGAUCACCCAUAAGCAAAAAAAAAAAAAGAGAGAAAGAAAGAGUUCCUUGGCAACAAAAAUGAACUGGGAUCACCUGUAUGCAACAUCAGCAACUGCAAAAACAUGAGGACUUAGUUCUCCAAAAGGUGCCCCCUUGUAUUGUUGCAUCAUGUGAGCAUCAUAAAUAUGAGGCAAUCUUUGGAAAGGAUUAAUUGCGAUAAGUAUGUUUCCAGUAUAAGUCUGCCAUAAGAUUUAACAUUUGCAACAGAUCUUGUUACAUAGAUCAUAGAUGCAGUAAGAUUUUUCUAUUAGAAUAAUGAGCAACGAUUGACCAGUUUGAGAUAGGUAAGAGAAGCAUACAUAUAUCUCAUUGAGCUCAUAUCUAGAUUUCAAGUUUUGUAAAACUCCAGGUUCAUGCAAAUAAGAUAGCUUUGUCAUGUCAUCAACUCCACCAGCAGGAGCUUCCGUAUCCUUUGGAUAUAUUUUCAAUAAAUUCACAACAACCUUAGCAUUACCAAAAACAAAAAAAGUCAAAACCAUUAAUCGGGGUAGAGAAAUACAAGCAAUCUGCAGGAAUAGCCAAUGUAGCCCCUAUCUCUUAGAAAGAAGAGGGUAGAUAGGUCCUUGAGUUGAGAUAGAGAAGUUCUGGCCAAUCAAGUAGGAGUUCUCACACAAGUUCAAGCUGCUGCACAAAAUCUAAUUUGGAUAUGCAUGUGAAUAUAAUUCAUUAUGAUGUUUCCAAACAGAGAAACUAUAGGAUAUUCUACAGUUUCUGCCGUAAAGAAUACUGAAAAUAUGAAAUAUGAUAUACAAAAUACACAUGAAAUGCAUGUUUUCCUUCAUUUAUUUAUUUGUGUAUAAAACAGGGAUUGAGACUUACAGUUCGGGAGAGGGAGAAAGCAAGAUGUACAUAUUGUUAUCAAAAACCACGACAAAGAACAGUAAUAGGGAGAAUAAAAUAAAAAAAUGAAAACAGUAAACACUCAAAGCACACAACAAUUUAUAUGGUUUGUCCUAAAGUCUACAUCCAUGGACAAAGAUGAAGAAGAACCUCCACUAUUGUUCACAAUCCUAGAGCUCUCAAAUUCCAAAGCCUCAACUACACUCACAAAGAUCCUUUAACUUAAUUGUAGGAACAAAUUUAGAAGUCACAUCCAUUGAACCCUUCACUAUAUUGAUCUCCUCAUAGUGUCUCCCACACUUUGUGAAUAAGCAACAAAAUCCUCAUUAGCAUACUUCUGAGGUGGUUUAAUAUGCCUUCUCAUUUUGUCCCUAGCCAAAUUGUAUUAUUGCUCUUCUGGUGCAUUUUCUUUAUCAUCAAGAUGUUGCACCUCUUCCUCAUUUGGCUUUAUUGAAAGCUUUUUUCUAUGGUUCUUGAAGCUCUAGGCUCAAACUCCACCUUUACUAUCACACUAGGUUUGUUUUCUAUAUCAAAUUGUUUUCUUCUUUAGACUCAACAUUGCAUACUCUUCACAAGUCACAUUCCUAGUAAUCAUAAAUUUGGAAGAUUUUGAAUUUAAGCACCACAACCUGUACCCUUUUACAACAUUUACAUAUCUUAUAAUAUGUUCUUCCUUGCCCUUGGAUCCAACUUAACUUCAUUUACAUGUACACAAGCAUGACAACAUAAUUAUAAUAAUAAUUUACAUAAUCAACAAGGGAACCAAAUCAUACCCCUUCAGAAGCCCUACAAUUAAUAGAAAUUGAAAGAGAAUUAUUCAUAAGAUAACAAGCUAAAUUAAUUGUUUCAACCUAAAAUUCCUUCGACAACCCUGCAUUUAAAAGUAUACAACAUGCUUUCUCUAGAAAAGUUCGAUUUAACUAUUUUGCAACACCAUUUUGUUGUGGAGUAUAUGUGGCAAUGCAAUGUCUCAUAAUAAUUUCAUUCCUGCAAAAGUCAUUGAACUAUUUUCCAUAGAAUUCCAGGUCAUUGUCAAUUUCAUCUAUUUUCUUGUCUGCUUUUCGAUCAUAGCUUACCAUCAUCACUUGAACUUUCCAAAGACAUCACUCUUAUGUUUCAAGAUAUAUACUCAAACCUUUCUAGAGCAAUCAUUGAUGAAGGUCAAUAUCCAUCUUCCACCACCAUGUCAUAUAACCCAAGAAGGGCUCUAAAGAUUUAAAUAGAUUUCAAAGUAACUUUAGUCUUGUGAAUAGUUGCAUUGCACGUAACCCUACAUUGUCUCUUGAAUACACAAUGCUCACAAAAAUCAAACUCUCCCAUAUUCUGCCUACCAAGCAAACCUUGUUAGCUCAAAAUUAACAAUCCUCUCUCACUCAUAUGCCUAAGCCGCAUACUCCACAACCUGGUAGUCUUUGAAAUUGUUUUUGAGGUUGAAACUAUAGUUGCACCUAUAACCGUGUUACCUUGCAAUGUAUAAAGACCACUAAUUUUUUGUCAUUUUAUCACAACAAGAGCACUCUUUGAGAUUUUCAUAACUUCACAUCUAACUUUAUAUGUGCAACCAUUGAAGUAGAGUAUCCCAAAGAAAUCAAAUUUUUCUUCAAUUCGAGAACAUGUCUUACAACAAUUAAUGUCCUUACAAUGUCAUCAUGCAUUUUAAUUCCAAUUGUGCCUAUUCUAACAACCUUAUAGGCUAUCUUGUUUCCCAUAAGAAGCUUCCCACCAUUUAUAACUCGGUAAGUACUAAACUGAUCCAUAUUGGUAGGCAUAUGAUAGGAGUGACUUGAAUCAAGGAUCCACCCAUCACUUGAAUUACUAACAAUAAUUGAAAAGGCAUUUGCAAUAUCCAAAUUUUCUUCUAUAAUUGGUGCGUUACCAGAAUUAGAAGCUUUCCUUUCUUUUUUUUUACCUUUACAUUCUAGACAAUUUCUCACAUAAUGUCUUUCCUUGUUUCAAUUGAAGCACUUGUUGUUUUCCUUACACUCUAAUUUAGAUAUGGAUUAACCUUUCCUAUAAUUAUUUUUCUUUUCUAUUCUCCCUCUAGCCACCAAGUCUACACCAAAGCUUUCUUCUCUAUUCUUGAGACCCUUUUCUUCAACUUCUUUGAGUUCAGGGUUGCCCUACCAUACAUAAUGGAAUCCACAAAUUACUUAUAAAAUUUUGGCAUGGAACAUAUCAAAAUUAUGGCUUAGUCUUUGUCAUCAAUUCUAACAUCAAUAUUCUUCAAGUCAAUAAUAGUUUUAUUGAACUCAUCAAGGUGAUCUUCGUCACAUACAAACUUUAUAGCUUCAACCAUACUUUGGGAGUCAUAUCCUCUACUACAACCUCACAAAGUACCUCGUUAGCCAAACAUAAUAGAAUAACAUUAUGCACUUUCUUCAUAAAUUCAUCAUUCUCUUCAUUAGACAUCAUCAUUGGUAGAGCCUCUUUUACUUUUAGUGUUUUGAAAAUCCUUGGUGAGCCAAUAAGGCACACAUCUUAACGCGCCCUAAACUGAAAUCGUUUCUUCCAUCAAACUUCUCAACCUCAAACUUUAUCCCUAUUCCAAGUCUAACAACCACUCUAUCUUUUAGUGGUUUAGACAAAACCAGUUGAACCACCAAGGCAUGCAUCUUAAUGCGUUAAAAAUUGAAAUCUUUUCUUCCAUCACACCUCUCAACCUCAAACUUUGUCGCUAUUCUAAGUCUAACAACCUUAAGCUCUAAUAAUAGCUUGUUGUGAAAAACCACGAUAAAAGACAAUAAUAGAGAGACGAAAAUAAGAGAAUGAAAGCAGAAAACACUUAACAAUUUACACGGUUCACCCUAAAGCCUACAUCCACGGAUAAAAAUGAAGAAGCACUUCCACUAUUGUUUACAAUCCUAGAGCUCUCAUAUCCCAAAGCUCUAAUUACACCCAAAAAGAUACUCUCCCUUUUAAUAAAAAUCUCUUUCUAUAUAUAUAUUCCCAAUUACAUAGGAAGAUUUCAUAUAGGAAACUCAUUACAUAAUUGUCAAAGAUACCAAUUCCUAAGAGAAGAUCUCACUAUAAUUUCCUUUAUAUCAAUAGGAAAGUUCCUUACAUGAAUAUAUCAUAAUAGGAAAAGAUCAACGACUUAUAAAUUGACUUGAAAUAGAAUUUGAGACAAUUUCCAACACAUGAUGAUACUUGAGUCCAAAAUGAUCUAUUUGGGCAAUUAAUAAUAAAUUUACACAAAAAUAGGAAAAGAUCCAAGCAAGUCAAAACUAGUUAGUGGAAUAAAGGAAAUGUUCAUCCACUUGUCAUCUAUGUUAAUACAUGAUAGAGCUAGUUCCCUUCCAUAACUUACAAAUUGUGAGAGAAAAAAAAAAGGAUGAUGAGGCUAAUCAUCAAGGAUGCAAGUAUAAUAUCAACAAACAUGAAAAGAAUAUCAUUAAAAUGGCUAAAAAAGAAGAAGGUAAGACUUGAUAUCCAUCCACCUUCUUUCCCUUAGUAAGCUCUAUUUCAGCUUCUGCUCCAUUGAUUUUUGUUACCAGUCCAUCAAUCCAAGCUGCUUCUGGGUCUUCAACCCAGACUUGAGAACCUACAAUAAUGUUCACUGCAGUGCCCUGCAGCAAUUAGAAAUUAUGUGCACAUGUUAAAGGAUAAAUUUGUUUUCCAGAAAAUGGAUCUAGAACUUAUUUUGAGAUGAAAAAAAACAGUUAUGUGGAUUAUUCCAGACAGGAACAUAAAAGCAUAGUGUUUGAAUCACAUUCAUCCUCCUUGUCUUAAUAAUCUUAAUGGAAAACACACGAGUUAUUACCAACCUGGAGAAAAGUGAAUGAAGGAACAAACACAAAGAGAGGCUCCUAGGAAUGUGAAAUUACUGCUUAUCUCAAAAACCUAAACUUCUAAACAAUGGAACCAGAAUGCAUAUCAAGCUACCAGAAAGAGAAUUCCUAUUUGUUAAAAUAUGAUGGAGAAAUAAAGAAAGAAAAUAGAAAUUAUUCUAUAAUCCCUAAGAAAACAAGUGAACACAAAUAAUAAAACCACAUUUCAAUAAAAAAUGCUAAGAAGAAAAUAAUUCAAAAUUCGAUGAACGACUUUCAAAAGUAGAGAUGUACCAUUUUAAGCUUUAAUCCAAAGCCCACGUAUUCAAAUCUCUGAGCGCAUGAAUUUCCCUUUCAGAAUUUUCUCCAUUCACCUCCCUAGCUGAAAAUAACCUUUCUGCCCAAAAUUUUGAUGAAUCUGGAACCAAACCGAUAAAAAAAAAUUAAACUUUGCAUGAUCUCCACUGCGACCCCAUCAUGGACGGUGGCAGAAAAUGCGGGAAAAUGCCAUUUUCCCGAGAAAAAAUGAAGGGAAACGAAGAGAAGAAUCGAUGGCGUUGAAGUGAAUGCCAAUGGGAACCGAUUUUGUUGUUCCUGUGUUUGUUCUUUGUCGUCUUCGUGUCGCUCAGUUUGUGGAAGUGACAUUCUUCAAGACGACCAGUAAAUUCGUUUCCUUCGAUUUCGCGCGGUCUUUCUCUCUCUAGAAACUGCUUCUCUCAAACUUUGCCCUUUUGUAGGAAAUUCGUGGCUCCCAAUUCCCAACUGUCUUCUCUUUCUACUUUCUCUCUCUAACUUUCACUGCCUGGUGUUGCAGUCGGUAGUUUAAUAUCAUGCAACUCAUCAUUGUAGCCGUUCGAUUCUGCUCCACCAUAUCAUGACCAGGAGCUUUAUUUUUGGACCAUUUUCCCUCGAAUCACAAAAUCCUCUGAUUCUUUUUGGUUUUGCAAUAAUCUAUAUAUUACUCUCAAUGUGAAUAAUAUAUCUUACUUCUAAAAUUUUGAUUGACAAAGAUAAGCAUAAUUUCACUAUUUUUUUUUAAUUAAUUAAAUAAUUUAAGAGGGGGUUUGAAUAACCCGAUUUUAUAAAUAAAUAUGAUUUUUUUAGUUCUUAUAUGAAAAUAUAGAAAAUAGUAAUAACUUGUAUAUAAAACAUACAAAUUAUUGCCUAAAAAGUAGAGAACUCAAAGAGUCCGGAAUUGAAAUAGAGACUUUAAAGAAUAUGCAUAUAAAAUAGAGAAGUUCAAUUUGAAAGAUGAAAUUUAUCUUUUAAAUAAUAAUCCAUUAAGUUUAUUUAUGGGGUUUCUAUUAGAUAAAAAUCUAUUGAGCUAUCGAAUUAUAAGUCGAUACGUUGAUAAGAUAACACUAGAUGUGUGUGAUGUCAAUAAGAUAAUGCAAUGUGUAAAACUACUUGACCAUUUGAUGAAAAAUAUAUUGAUAUUUGGCUAAAUAGUCCUCAUUCCUUUCUAAUUUGGUUGAAGGAAUUUGGUAUUAGAUGACAAUUCCAUGUCAAUGAGCCUAUGAGGUAGGUUAUGUGCUAAGCCCAUUAAAGCUCCCUAAGCCCAAUACUAAUCCAAGCAUAUAUGAAGCAUUUGGGCACUAGGUCAUUAGUCACUUAUGAGGGAAGCAUAGAAAAUAUUUUUAAUGUGAUGAUAACAUAAAUUUAAGUGGCUUUCUUUCUUAAAAGGAGCAUAAAAACUAGUUAUGACAAAUCAUGUUGAGAUAUCGUACCCGCACGAUAUCAAUAUAGGGGUAAAACAUGAUACGAGUAAAUAUGAACACAACUCAUGUUUUGGCACAAUACAACAAAAUAUCAUAGGUGACCCAACUUGACAUUGACUUGACUUACUAACACAUUUAACUUGAAUUUAAUCUAAAUAGUCUAAAAAUCAACAUAAAUUAUUAAAUACUUUAUAUCUAAAUGUAGACCAACAUUAGCCUUGAGAUGAGAGCACCACCUUAUCCCUUGCCUUUACAAUCACUACCUUGCCUGCAUCUCUAAAAGGUUCAAGCCACUAUCUCCAUUGUCAUCUCUCCCUUCCUAUCAUCAUUUUUGUCCUUCACCAUAAUCAUAGUCAUCUUUCUCCACCAAUUGUCAUUGUUUUCAUGGACUAUCACUACCCUCUCCAACCAACAUUAAAUCUCCAUAAAAGGAGAAGUUACCAUUAAUCUACUUAUCUGUCUAUAAUGGGUGUAGGGUUGGAAUAAGAAAAAAUAGAGAAGAUCAAGUAGUAGAUGAGAGAAUUAGAUUAAGGUUGUAACAUUUAGCCUUUUUUUGUAGGUGGCUUUUGGAUGUGAGAAUAGGCCCUUUUUUAUUUAUAGGUCUCCACUUAUUUUAUUUAACCUGGUUUUCAAAUUUGGUGUGCACUAAUUGGACCUUUUUUUUAAGUGUUUUUCUUUGGUGUGACAAUAAGCUUGAUAUUCUACUAAACAUGGCUUUAGCCUGGUUUUCAAAUUUGGUGUGCACUAAUUGGUCCUUUUUUAAAGUGUUUUUCUUUGGUGUGACUAUAAGCUUGAUAUUCCACGAAACAUGGCUUGGGUUGGUGGUUAUCUUUUUGGUUUGCAAUUAUUUCUUGGAAAAUACAAUUAUUUUUCCCUACAUUUAAGUAUCAAAGCUAAGCUUAUCAAUUGCUUAAGGUAUUAUGUGGUCUUGGACCAAUAUUUGAGAUAUUGUACUAAAUGAAAAAUGGUUUCGAGUUACCUUUUGAAAUGUCAGAAAACUUGUCAAUGAAACAACCAAUAGAGAUUUUUUUAUCCUAAGUCAUGGAUGAAACUACAAAUAUAAGAACCACUGAGUUAUCCAUAGCACAAUAUCUUAACCCUCAUUUCUAUGAAGAAAAUAGGGGAAAAAAAAAAUUAAGAAAAGACUUUUGUUCCAAAAAGAAGACUCAUCUUCUUUUUGAUUUUUGAUUUUUAUUUUUAGAGAGAGAUUUUUUAUUUUUAUUUUAAUUUAUAGUGACAUUUUUUAGGUAGUUUUAAAACUCUAAGAAACUACUUUCCUAACACAAUUUUUUAUUUAUUGGGUCGGGUCGGGUCAACCCACUUGGGCACCCAAACCCAACUCCAAUAUGUAUCAUUAAGGAGUUACAAAGCUUAUGGCAAGAGUUUGUAAACAAUGGAGAAUUUUAGCAUGAGCAAGUCCAGAAAAUUUAAAACUACCAUUACAAAAAUUGUUUAAAUCAAAAUUAAAUCCUACCUUGAAGAUUAAGAGUUAUAAGAUGUCCUUGAUAGAGGUGACAUCAUACUACCAAGCCUAAAAAAACCUAAAGCACAAGGAAAUGGAGAAUUAUAGUAAAAAAAAAAGAAAAAGAAGAAGCAAUCUACAUGUUCUAUGUAGUAUUGAAGACAAGUCACUUGAAUACACGUGGGAUAUAGAAAUGCCUAAGGCAAUAUGGGAUGUAUUUUUUUAUCUUUAUUUAAAGAACAAAUGAUGACCAGUUGUAAAAUGAGCUAAUAUUAGUUAUACAGGGUAAUAUGAGAGCAAGCCAAUAUUUUAUGGAGGUAAAAUCUCAAACUUGUGAAAUUUCUCAGUUAGAACCUAAAGUUAAAUUUAACGAGUAAAGACUCGAGUGAAUCAUUAUUCAUGGCAUAAAACCCAAAUGCAAUGGGUUAAUUGUUUCAAUUCAAGGAUGUUCAACCCAACUAUUGCUCUUGGACUUGAACAAUUUACUAGCUAAUUUAAAAAGUUUAGUGUAAACCCUUCAUUUUAGCAUCUUAGCAUAUGAUACUUGGUGUUUUCAUGUACUUAUCUCUUGCCCUAUAGUCAUUCUUUAGUAGCCCAUUGAUACUCAUAUAACUUUUUUUUUCUUAAAUUACCUUUCAAACCUUUUGUUGAGAGAUUUUUCUAAACCAUCAUUGUGACUUUAACAGUCUCUUUAGUUUAGUUCCAGGCAUAGGUCACUUAAUUUUUUUUUUUAGGUUAAGUUCAACUAGGUGUUUUUUAGGUGUAGUUCAAUUAGAUUCAAUAUUAAAUUAAAUUGCAUGCUUUUAGGAUUAAGUGAGCAUUUGACUUGAUUUUAAUUUUUGAUUGCAGAAGAAUACCGAUCUUUAUUUGUAUGAGUUUAAUAUUUCGAUUGUUAUCUAUUACAUUAGUUUUAAUAUAUAUAUAUAUUUUAUUGCAUACUUGAUAUUGGUAUUUAUAUUAUUGAUAUUUAUAUUUUUGUUUUAUUUAUUCAUUUAUUUUAGAAAAUUGCAUGAGAUUGAUGAUUCUAUUUUAUUUUUUUAAUUUACAUGAAUUAAUAUUUUGAUUUCUUACAAAUGCAUGUGAUUGAUCGAUCUUGUUAUUUUCAUUUUUAAUUGCAUGAUUUCUAAUUUUAUUAUUAUUGCAAGAUUUUUAAUUUUUAUUUUAUCUUUGCAUGAGAUUCUGGUGGCAACAUAAUGGAGAAUUCAUGAAAAGUGUGGCUCCAUAUAUGGAGAUAUCUAUGGCUGAAUUAUUUCAGGAAGAGUCACCACUAGAAUUUGGCAAGGAUCUGAGGUACUCCAUCGCAAAAAGGGAAGCACAGACUCUCGCAUACUAAAAGGAAACUCAGACUGCCAAGACUUACCUUAAGGUCACGCCUUCACGUAAAAGGGAGCAGCAUCAAUUUUUUUUUUUUUUGGAGGAACCAGGACUAUAUCCUUAAAAAGCAUACCACGCACAAGUUUGGAAGAAGGAUCAGUUAGAAAAGUCAACACGCAUUCAUGGGGGAGCGCACCAUCUAUUUGUACCGUGCUUUCAAUUAAGAAAGGGAUGUCAGUCUCAUUGAACAUUUUAGCAAGCUUUUCUAAUGCUUUAGUCGUAUCAUAUUUGUAAUUCUGAUCUCUCUGGCUUUUCUAGUGCAUAUAUCAUUGUAGAAAAAACACUUUAAAAGACCCACACAUAGCAUAUAAAAGGAGACGACGAUUGAUUUGUGGAGAUGGAGAAUUUUCUCUAGAAAGGUGGCUACUUUGUGGAUCACACGCAUCCAAAAGAAAAAGGUGCCACACACGAGAUUGGGGGUAGCAGGAUAUUGACUAGGGGCCUUUCUUUAGAAGGAACACAGAUUGGUCUUGGAUUAAUGAAAGAAUUCUAGUUGGAUGCACCAUACAAAAGGAGAUUUUUUUUUUUUUUUUUUUAUCUCCCCAAAGCACCGGGUUGCACCUUUUAAGGAUUGCAUGCACCAUUGAGGACACCAGUUUUUUUUUUUUUUUAAAGGGCACAAUCAGUUUAGAAACACAACAUGAUUGGGAAAAGGCAGCAGGCUGCCACUUUGGAGACAACCACAAAGCGCACAAACCCAUCUUAAAGAGGAGCAGCCUGCGUAAAUAAAAAAGGCUGCCACUUUGGAGACCCCACAAGGCAACACGCACAAUUGAAAAGGAGCACACCACAACCGCACCAUGGGAAUUUUUUUCUCCAUCAUGCAUGGAACUCGUGGCCACUUUGAGAGUAUAAAAGAUACACACAACUUGCAUGUGGAGAGCAACCACGACUGCAUCCUUUUGACAACACGCACACAUCCACGAGGUUGGAGACUAUGCGAUCGAAGGUGAGUUUUUUGCUUUUAGGAUGUGCGGUUCCGAUUUGAUUUUGUUUUAAUCGCAUUUUGGUCCAUCAGUUUACGUAUUAUUUGUUAUUAGUUGUUAAUUCUUGAAUGAUCUCAUGAUAGUUUACUUGCCUUAAAAAUCUUUAAUGGUUAAUUUUUGAAUUGUUCUCAUGUUAGUUUACUUGUUUUACAAUAUUUAAAGUUUAGUUUGGUCAAUCCCAUGUUAAGAUAUUCAUGUUUUGAAAUAUUAAUUUUAGUUUUGAUACAUCUUAUUUAGUUUAUAAUUCUUUUAGAAUCUUAGUUAAUUAAUUUAGUUGAUUCCAUGCUACAAUUUUUAUGUUCCAAGUUUGUUGAUUUAUCAAUAUUUAUUUUGUGUGUUUUUGGGAAUAUUAAUUAAUUAACUUAGUUGACUCAUGUUACAAUUUUUAUGUUUCAAGUUGUUAAAGUCUUUGAUUUAUCAAUAUUUAUUUAAUGUGUUUUUUGGAAUUAAGUUAAUUAAUUUAGUUGAUUUCAUGUUACGAUUUUUAUGUUUCAAGUUUGUCAGUUCAAUAUUUGAUUUAUCAACAUUUAUUUUGUGUCUUCGGGAAUUUUAGUUAAUUAAUUUAGUUGAUCUCAUGCUAUAAUUUUUAUGUCUCAAGUUUGUUAGUUUUAGAUUUUGAUUUAUCAAUAUUCAUUUUGAGUGUUUUCCAAAAUUUUAGUUAAUUAGUUCGAUUGAUUCCAUGUUAUGAUAUUUUAGUUCUAAAAUUAUUAAACUUUAGGUUUUGAUUCAUCUUAUUUAGUUUGAGUGUUAUAUAUAUAUAUAUAUAUAUAUAUAUAUAUAUAUAUAUAUAUAUAUAUAUAGAAUUUUAGUUGAUUAAUUUGAUUGAUCCCAUUUUAUGAUAUUUAUGUUUUAGAAAAUAGUUAAUUUUAGUCUUUAAUCCAUCCUCUUCAAUUUAUAUGUUUUUUCAGGAUGUUAGCUAAUUUAAUUUAAUUGAUCUCAUGUUAUUAUUUCCAUGUUUGAAGUUUGUUAGUUUUAAUUCUCGAUUGAACGUAGUUUAAUUCAUGUGCUAUUCAAAAUUUUAGUUAAUUCUUAUGUUGUUAUGCUCAAGUUUUAGAAUUGCUAAUUUUAAUUUUUGAUUAAUCCUUACUUAGUUCAUGUGUUUGAUUAGAAUUCUAUGUGCUUGCGUUAUUAUAUUCACAUUGUCAUAUUCACAUGUUUAUAUGUUUAGUUGGUCUUAUGUUAGUUCUCUCUUGACCUUAUCUUAGUUUAUAUGGUUUUAGAAUCAUAGUGGUUAGUUUAUGAAUCGAUAUCUUGUUAGUUUGUUGAAUCUAAAACGCUUUGCUUGUUGCUUUAGUGAUCCUUUGUUUAAUUUGAUUUUUUCAGAGGCUUUUUGGAAAACCCAAUGUUUAAUUUGAAACUAAUUGGUCACUACUCUCACCAUAUUAGUUUGUUUGGUUGUAAAAAACUUCACUUUGUGAUUUUAGUUUCUCUUGUAUUACUUAGUUUAAAAUCCUUAUGUUUUGUUACUAGCAAAUGCUAAAUUUUUGUUUCUCUUUUAAAAAGAAUAAAAUCAAAUUUUAAGGAUAUAAAGAAAGUCUUUUUUUUUUUAUUUAUUUAUAAAAAUUUAUAUCUUUUGUAUAAAAGUUAUUAUUAGAUCUCCUUGUUCUAACCCUUUCCUUUUUUCGGGAUUUCUAUUUCUUAAUGAUAUCUCAUAAUAAGAUUUUUACUUUUAAAAACAAAAAAUAAGAAUUCUUUACAACAAUCUCAUAUUUCCAUCCAUCUGGUUGCUCUUUUUUUUUUUUUUUUUCCUUUUUUCUUGUUUGUUCGUUGCCUUUUUAUGAUUUUGAUAGUUGUGACUAUUAUUUUGAUGUAUAGAUACUAAGCUUAAAUGACUAGUUACAAUCUAUUUUAUUUUAGUUUCAUUCACAGUUGGCCUUUGUUUUUUAUAUGUGAGAUAAUUGUGGUAACAUGGUCUUGGAUUGUGAAAAUUUUAUAAAAAGAUAUGUAUAGGGAUGACAAUAACAUAGGUUUUUUCAAUACUUGUCCCUCCCACCCUAAUAGGACGAUUUAAAAAAAAAAGCAAACAAGUUUAGGUUUAUAUAUAUAUUUUUAAAUCGUGGAAUUGAUUUAGGGCGAGUUUGGGUUUGACUUUAUCCCAUCUUGCCCUACCUCUAUUAAAUUAAAAUUUAUUUUAAUUAUUUUUUUUUCAUUUUUUUAACAUAUAUAAAAUAUUACUUUUAAUAAAAAAAUAAAUUACAAAUAUUUAAUAAUUUAUAAAUUAUAUUUAUUUUUAAUACCAUUUAAAAUUUUUAUAAAUAAAAAAAUAUAAAAUAUAAAAUUUGAAAAAAAAUAAAAAUAAAAAGGUUAAACAAAGAGGGAUGGGGCAAGAGAGUGCGGAUGUGAGAAUUUCCUAUACUCGUCCCGCCCUAGCCCCAUAGAUAUAAAUAACGCGAUGGGGUUAGACCUAUCUAAUAGGUUGAACUUUCCAUUUUGGCCUAUGGCCCGGCAUGCCAAAAGGCCGGGUUAGACUAGCACGACCCAAUUAUUGUAGUGGGUUGGGCCGGCAUGACCUAAUUACUGUAACGGGUUGGGCCGACAUAACCCAAUUACUGUAGCGCGUUGGGCUUGCAAGACCCAAAGGAGCGGGCCGUGCUGGGCCUAAGGAGACAACCCGUCAUGCCAUCAUGCCGACCUAUCAUGCUGGCCAUUUGACCCUUAAUUUAAAAUAUCACUUUUUUUCUUUUUUUAUUUAUUAUUAUUAUAUGUCAAAUGUUUAUAAUAUUCCCCUCAACAACUAUAUAAUGGCUAGUUUAAGGAGUAAAAAAGUAAAUCAAUAAUUAUUUUUACUUUUUUUAUGUCAAGUAUCUAUAUUACCCCUCCAAACAACUAUAUAAUGGCUAAUUUAAAGUAUAAUUAAGUAAAUCACUCACUGUUAAUAUUUUAUGUCAAAUAAUUCUUUAUAAAUUCCUCUUAUUUUAAUUCUUUCUCACACAAUUCUCUAUUCUCUCUUUUUAUAUUGGUUACAAUUCUCUUUAAUAUCUCUUUCUACAAUUUUCUAAGUUUAAAUUCUCCAUAAGUACUUCAAUUCAAGGCUUCAAGUUAUCUUUUAUCCACAAGUGUUCAUUAAUUACAAGUUCUUUUGUGCUAAAGAUAUCUACUAACUCUACAAGUGGUCAUCAUCACAAGGUUGAGGUAUUUGUAUUUAGCUAUUUCAUUUAUUUAUUUUAAUUCUAUAUUUUAAUUUAAUUAUUUUCUUCCUUUUACCUUUUUUUUUUUCCUCUAAAAUUAAAAAUGAAUCCUCGUAACCUAGAUGUUGAAAACCUUGACUUUAGUAUUGAUGAAUGUAAUGAAUUUAAUCCUUUUGAAGAUGAGGUGGCCCAAAUUAUAGAUUAAUUACAAAAAUUAAUCUAACAGAGGAGACCUGCAUCCCUUCUAGUGUCCCUCAUUCUAACCUUUCUCAACCCAAUCCCACAAACAAAAGACCUAGGGUUAGUAUACGCACCGCUACAUCUAUAAACCCUAGGCAAUCCCAAAUAAGUCAAACUAAAAUGGGAUCUAGUGCAUCUUUAAUAUCUCCAUCUAUAUACAAUCAACAAUUCUUGAGAGAAGGGUUAGCUAGAAUGGUGGCUAGUUUGGGGCUUCCAUUGACAUUUGGAGAAGAUCCUAGAUUUAUACAUUUUAUGCACAAGUAUGCCCAACCAGCCUAUCAUAGAAUUCCUAAGACUACUUCUUGUAAUAAUGUAAUUAAAUGUUACAAAAAUAAAAAACAAUUAAUAAUUGAAGAAUUUAAUUAUCAUAGUGGUAGUCUAUCAUGACCUCAGAUAUAUGGACUAAUCAACAUAAUGAUCCUUUUACAUGUGUGACAACACAUUAUAUAAAUUCAAAUUGAAAAUUACAUAAGAAAAUAUUAGGUUUUCAUAAAAUAUUUCAUCCUCAUGAUGAGCCUAUCAUAUAUGAUUCUUUGAUAAGUGUUUUUAGAGAAUAUGACAUAUAAAGCAAAAUUUUUAAUAUUAUUUUUGCUAAUGCUUCAAACAAUAAAAGUGUCAUAAAUUUAUUUGUAAGAACAAUUAGAAAAGGUCCACUAAGUGAAAUGUUUCAUGUGAGAUGUGUUUGUCAUAUAAUUAAUUUAAUACUACAAGAUGAUUUAAAAUUAAUAUAUCCUCAUUAGAGGCUAUCCAAUAUAUUUUACAAUUUCUUGGUUCAUUUAGCAAAUUACAAAAUUUUUAUGCUUUAUGUCAAUCAAUAGGUUUGAAAAAGAGAAAAUUUCAUCGUGAUGUUAGUCAUCAUUGGAAUUCUACCUACCUAAUGUUAAAAUCUUGUGUAGGCUAUCAUAACAUAGGAUCAUAUUAUGUCAACAAUAAAAUAGGUGAAAUUAUAAUAACUUUGGAUAAUUGGGAGAAAGGUUUUUAUUUUUUAAAAUUCAUGAAAGUUUUUUAUAAUACUACUAUUGUGUGUUUUUUUGUAUAGAACACUACACCUUGUAUAGUACUUAAAUGUAUUUGUAACAUGAGUGAUAUGUUUCAACAAUAUAAGAAAUAUCCCUUUUUAGUGAAAUAUGUGUACAAAUGGAAUUUUUUUUUGAAAUAUUAGAAGACCAUUCCACCACUUUAUUGUUUAGUUGCUUGUAUGAAUCUAAGGGUUAAGGUUGAAAGUGUAGAAAACAUUUUAAAUUUCAUAGGUACUUGUAUGAACCAACCAUAAAACCAAAGUGUAAGAUGUAUGAACAAUUCAUAGGGAACGAUUCAUAUGAUAGUCUCUUUAAGUACUAUAACUCUACCUGCAUUUGAGAACGAUUCAUUCUAUAUGCAAUUAGCUAAAGGAAAGCGACAAGUUGGUCCUUCAAAUAGGGGUGAUAUUUCAAAAUAUUUAAAUACUGAUUAUUGUUCAUAUUUAUCCCCUAAUGAAGUAAAAAAAAAUUUGAUAUUAUGAACUGGCAGAAAUCUUAUGAAUCCACUUUUCCUAUGCUAUCUAAAAUGACACGUGAUCUACUAACUCCACCAAUUCUACUGUAGCAUGGAAAUCUGCUUUUUAUAUAGUUACAAAUAUAGUAGGAAAUAGGAGGACAACUUUUGUAGUAGAGAUGCUAGAAGCCUUGACAUGUUUGAAGGAUUGUGAAAAUGGACACAUAGGACUCCAAACUUUGAAAGAUGAACUUAAAAAAAAACCUCAAGAAAUUUGAUCUCAAUACAAACAAUGAUGUUAAAGAGAUUGAUGACGUUUGAAGAUGAAGAAUGAAGAUGAAAAAAGAAUAAUGAAGAUUAAAUAAGAAGACAAAAGUGAAUAUGAUAAUUGAAGAAUUAUAUGUUGUUCGUUUCCUUUAAAUAUAUUAAAUGUAGCGAAUUUUUAAAGGUUGAGUAAUGCAUAUGAUUAAUAGUUGGGUGCAUGCCAACUUAGUUAGGAUGUACUCAAACUAUAGUAAUGCAAUUCUCACAUUUUUCUCUCUCUAUUUUUUCAUGUAAUUUGUUGAAAUAUUGAAAAAAAAAAUAUUUAUAUUUUAUUUCCUUUUUUAUUCCAUUACUUUAAAUUUAUUGUUAUUUUGAUUUUAAAAAAAUUCAAAUAUAAUUUUUUUUAAUCCUUUUUAAAAACAAAAAAAAAAUUAACAUUUCUAUAAAUUUUACCAUUACAAAUUUGAUAAAUAUAAAUAUAAAAAAUAAAAAAUAUAAUUAUUAGAGAUGUAUAAAAAAUAAAAGGUAUAAUUAUUAAAGGUGUUUAAAGUAAUAAGAAGAAAUUUCAUUUAAUAAAAAAAAUUAAGACAAAAUGACUUAAAAAAUUAAAUUAAAUUUUUUAACAAAGUAGCCCAUGGGCCAUGGGAUGUUAGCACAGCUCUUCGACAUAGCACAACAUGAUUGGCCCGUAGACUUAUAGGUCGUGUUGGGUCAUCUAUUUUGUUUGCAUGGGUCGGAUCGACCUAGCACGAUUUUUAAAUUGGUCAUGUUAACAGACACAAUCCAUUGGACAACUCUAAAUGGGUUGAGGAUGAGGGUGGUUCAUGCAUUGUUAUCACCUAGAUAUGUAUUUUUACCGGUGACAUUUAUUAUCUAUGUAUGAAGAUUCUUGGGAAAACUUCGUUAUGGGCUGUUGAUCCCAAAAUAUUAGGAUUUUCAACCCCCGACUUUGGGAAAAUCAAGAAAUCUGCGUUGAUGUAAAAAAUAUUGGCAAUUCCAUGCACUCUACACCGAGGUGUGCUUUCAUUCCCAAAAUGCCCUCCCCAUUCGUCUAGCUCAGCCUCCACAUCUGAAUACCCAAAAAACCCUUAAAAACCCUCCCACCCCCCCCAAAAAUAAAAAAAUAAAAACGUCUCACAUUUUUUCACCUUGACGCAUACUCUCUCAACGGAAAACCAANNNNNNNNNNNNNNNNNNNNNNNNNNNNNNNNNNNNNNNNNNNNNNNNNNNNNNNNNNNNNNNNNNNNNNNNNNNNNNNNNNNNNNNNNNNNNNNNNNNNCCCACCCACCCAAAAAAUAAAAAAAAUAAAAACGUCUCACAUUUUUCACCUUGACGCAUACUCUCUCAACGGAAACCCAAAACUCCAUUUGUUCCUGGAACCGAACCUCAGCCUCGUCUUUCUUUUAAUCUUGAAAACCCAAAUCCUUGAAAGCCUAACCUCAUUUGCGUUUUCAAAGGGUGAGAUAGGAGUUGUCGUCAACACUGGAUUUUCAUUUUUUCGAAUGAGAGUAAUAGGUUAGGGCUUUUUGGGUUUUCGGAAUCAGAGCAAAAUGAGGCAGAGAGGUUUUGUAAUGAGAGUAAAAUGUUAGGGGUUUUCGGUUUUCCUAGAUGAGAGGAAGAUAAAAAAGGUUAGGGUGUUUUGGUUUUCCAAAAUAAGAGGAUAACAAGGAAGAUUAGGGUUUAGUUUCAAAGUUCAGUGUCCAUGGGAGAUAAAGCAAUUUAUUUGCUUUUCUGUUCUAGUAGGGUGUUGGGUGGAAUAUAGUUUUUUUUUUUUUCUUGCCUUUUCAGAUAUGGAAAUUGACCUAGAGGAUAAGGAAGGUCAUAUUAGGUAUAAAAAUCCCAUUCAGCAUAAAGUGCAUAAAGAUCUAAUAAUUUUUCACAUUAAUAUACGUUUCUUGAAAUUGGAAAAAUUAGAGUUUAAAAUCUCUAUUAUUUUGGGAUCAACCGCUCAAAACAUAAGUUUCCCAUUCUUGAGAAAACUUGGUUAUGGGCUGUUGAUCCCAAAAUAUUAGGAUUUUCAACCCACGACUUUAGGAAAAUCAAGAAAUCUACAUUGAUGUCAAAAAUAUUGGAAAUUACAUGCACUCUGCACUGAGGUGUGCUUUCAUUCCCAAAAUGCCCUCCCCAUUCAUCCAGCUCAGCCUCCACAUCUGAAUACCCAAAAAACCUUAAAAGCCCCCCCACCCUCCUAAAAAAUAAAAAAAUAAAAAUGUCUCACAUUUUUCACCCUGACGCCAACUCUCUCAACGGAAACCAAAAACUCCAUUUGUUCCUAAAACCCUAACCUCAACCUCGUCUUUCUCUUCAUCUUGAAAACCCAAAUCCUUGAAAGCCUAACCUCAUUUGCGUUUUCAGAGGAUGAGAUAGGAGUCGUCGCCAACACUGGAUUUUCAUUUUUCCGAAUGAGAGUAAUAGGUUAGGGUUUUUUAGGUUUUCGAAAUCAGAGAAAAAUGAGG
rnacentral:lncRNA from 1 species